rnacentral:lncRNA from 1 species
UUUAAUUUUUUAAACUAUUAAAAAAAUCACUAGAUAUAGUGGAUAAGUAUAUAUUGUUUAUUAAUUAUUAUUCUAUAUAAAGAGUGAGAUUAAAAAAUUAGAAAGCACAUUAAAAAUAAAAAUAUUAAUUAAUUUUAAAAAAAAUGAGCUCUUAAAAAAGAAACCCUAAAUCUGAAGUUUGUUGUUGGGGAUAUAUGGUGAAAUUGGUAAUUUGGCCUUUUGCAUCAAAAGCCAAUGAACCAUUAAAGCGGAUAAAGCAGAAGUUCAUUAGUGUGUCAAUAUAGUCAUACUUAUGUCAGCAUUCGGGGCUGCUUAGAAUGUGUACAGAAUUAUUGGAAAUUUUAUCACAGAACUAAUUGCUUGUUGACAAAGUUUGUUUGUUCAGAGACCUAGAUCUUAUAAUUUCUUACACGAUCUGUUAACACGUUAUGUAAAAGAUACAAAAAUACGGAUUUCAGGUCAACACAAUAACUAAUUGGGUUCUUAUCAGAUUACACGAUAAGAACCCUAUAAUAACAGGUUCUUAAUAGGUUUACACGAAAAUAACAUACUGGUAACCUAUUUUAACAUUCUAAGAAAAAAGAUAUUUUUAUGGUUUUAAUUUUUUAAACUAUUAAAAAAAUCACUAGAUAUAGUGGAUAAGUAUAUAUUGUUUAUUAAUUAUUAUUCUAUAUAAAUUUUAAAAUUUUAAGUUUUAUUUAUUUAUUUAUUUUUAUAGUAUACUAUACGUAAAGAGUGAGAUUAAAAAAAAUUAGAAAGCACAUUAAAAAUAAAAAUAUUAAGUAAUUUAAAAAUACCAAACACAUUAAAAAAUUAUAGUAAUUAAUUUACAAGUACGAAAAAUGUAAACAAUAUGAAAACACUUAUAAUAACAUCAUUUAAACUUUGGGGAUGGGUACAUCGUCGUUUGAAUUUUUAAAACUAUACAAACCCUCAUGAAUAGUAUUUUUAAGAGUUAAAAAAUAAAUAAAAUUCAUAAUCAUUAAUGUUCAAAACAAGUGUUCAAAGAUAUGCAAAAUGAAGAGAGUUGCGUUCCAAGGGUUUUAUGGUAAAAAAACAUGCAAUGUUCCUCAACCUUGAAACACAUCUCUUUUCAUUUUGCAUAUCUUUGAACAUUUGUAUUUUGUAGUAUGCACUAAUGUUUUCUCAUUAGGCUCUUAUUUUGGGUAUGUAAACUUGAAAUACAUGUUUUUUUUUUAAUAAUGUUUUGAAGUAAUAUUUAUGUAACAAUAUGGUAUGUAUAUAUUAAUUUAGUAUUAUGUUUUACAUUUUUUGGGUCAACUUAUGUUUUUCAUUUUCAUUAUUUAUUAAUUUAAAAUAUAUUUUUUUCACAGUAACGGGUUAGGUCAUAUUACCUGAUAAUAUUAACGGGUCAAUUUCGCAUCGAAUCAUAUUACUUGUUUAUUUUAACGGGUGUUACAUGACACAACCCGUUAAGCUAUUGGGUAUGACACGAAAACGACAUGAAUACGAGAAACAUGACACGAAUGCCAGGUCUAGAAACCAUAUUAAUGGGAAAAGAGAUUUCCUCUUGCAACCAUUUCACCACAUGUCAAAGCUUUAUUGAAUGUUGGGUUCACUUUCUAAACACGUGACGAUCACUGAUUGGUAACGGAUUCCACUCGAACCAUGAAACGGUUGUAAGAGAGAAUCACUCUAUUGGAAGAGAAAUUUCUCUCUUAAAAUAUUGCCGUAGUGACCUUUCCGCAACAUAAAAGUUGUUUAUAUGUGCAUUUUGAGUCAUUGAUGAAUGCAUAAAUUAAGACAGGAAAUUGGGAAUAUCACAAACUAGGGCAAGAAGUUUAAUUACAAAGUUGAAAGAGACACAAUCAAUUAUGAGCAUAUCGCACGACGACAUAAAUGUUAAGAAUAAGGUAUUUGUCGAUUUCCCCAUUCCCCUGAAUUUGUUAGGAGUUACCAUUUUCGUCAUGAGCUAUAAUUUUAUUCAAUUAUCUCCUGAAACUUUUAUAAUUGAUCAAUUUUCUCAAAAACUUUAAUUUUAGCAAAUUACUCACCUAAACUUUAAUUUUAAUUGCAAAAAAAGUAAUUUUAUCGAUAAGGUAGACAACAUUUUUUUUUCUAUUCCGCUAGUUCACUUGGGGGGAGGGGGGUCAAUUAGAAAAAUUAGAGGAGUAAUCGGGUAAAAUUAAAGUUUAUUGGAGAAAUUGGCCAAUUAUAGAAGUUUAGGAGGUAAGCGGCUAAAAUUAAAGCUCAUUAAAGAAAUUGGCCAAUUAUAAAAGUAAAUUGGCCAAUUAUAAAAGUUCAGAAGUAAAAUUGAUAGUUACUUACAAAUUUGGAAAAAAUCAGCCACUACUUCUUCAAGAAAUAUUGAAGUAAUUUUCAAGUUUGGCCCAACUGAGGAUCCACCAAAUAGGCCCAAUGACACCAACACCGCAGCCCUAAAUCCAAAAGGAAAGCACAAAAAAUGUUGGCAUAUAAAUAGAAGCUGGCGGUCGGCGUUAUGCGGAAGGGCGCGAGCGGGGCGGGGCGAGGAUGGUGCGGGAGAGAAAGGGGUGCUCUCUGCUGGAAGCGGCAAUCAGUCGAACACCAUGUGGAUAAGAAAAUAACUGAGGGGAUCGUGAUUUCCUUAUUUCCAUUUUAUAAAGUUUUUAUAGUUUUCAAUCUGAAUAUGUUCGAUUCGGUUGCUGCUCGUAUGAGAUCCACUCUCUCUCUCUCUCUCUCCUUCCUGCCCACCUCAAACCCUCGGGGCCUUAUGAUGAUGUCUGAAGGUUCUCCGCUUCGAUUUUAUUAGGUUUUUGUUAGAUUUGAGUGAUUAAUAUUUUCUGCAUUUUUUUUGUUUGAUUUCUUGCUGGUUUUUAAUUUCUUUGAUAACCCAUGAAGUUUUAUUUAUUUUUUUUUUAUUUCCCCGUAGUGUAUGUAUAGAGAGAACUGUGAAUGUAUAUAUAUAUAUAUAUAUAUAUAUAUAUAUGUAUGUAUGUAUGAAUGUAUGUAUGUAUAGAGUUUUUCUAGGUAAGCCAUGAUUUUUUGGAAAAUUGGUGGCGUUGAUGAAGAAAUUUUGAGUCUGACGUCGUGUCGUUAGGUAAUGUUAUUAAUUCACGUGUUCUAAUAAGAUCAGUGUACAAUAUAGUUGAUAUGUAUUAUGUCAUGGACUUUGACUAUAGUAUUAAUAAAGAGAUGCAAUGCUAUGACAUAAGUGGAUUUAAUACGGUGUGGUAUAGCUGCUACAUUGAAAAACUUCUUUCCUUGUGUGAGUUUGUUUUGCAAACUGUGCAAUUAAUAUUAAUUUUUUAUAUAGUUUAUGGAAGUGAUUUCGAACUUCUAUUUCAAUUUAUUCUCUAAAUUUCUUUAUUUAAGGGUGUUUUGGUAGCAUAAUUCUGUUUUUAUUAUAAUCCUACUUGAAUGGUUAUUUUCUGAAGAUUUUGGGCACUGGUAGGGAUGUGCAAUGGUUAUGCGGGUGGGUAACCGCGGUUAAUUUAUCCAUAACCGUUUAUGUUCAUACCUGCAUAACCAUUUACCCGUUGGGUAAUUACCUAAACGGUUAUACCCAUACCCAUAACCGUUUAUAAACGGUUAACCAUACUCAUAACCGCAUACUCAUUUAACCGUAACCGUUUAAUAUCCGUUUACCCAUUUAUCAUUUUUAACCCGUUUAGCUUUUUUUUUUUACCAUUACCUUUUUUUCACCCGUCUAUAUGUUUUUUAACAACUUGAAAAUUAAAAAAAAAAUUGUCAUAAUUUUUUUUUGACAAUUAAAUACCGUUAUAGGUACAUUCAUCAUACAUUUUCAUAUUUUAAUUUUUUAAAUCCUUAUGCAAUUCCAAUAAUUGAAAUAAUAGUUUACAGAUAAUAUUUUUAACUGUUACCAAUAAAGGUAAAUAUAAUAUUUGCUAAGUAUUAUUGGAUUACAAAAAUUGUUUAUAAGACAUUUCUGUCAAAACAUUUCUGUUAAUUUCACGGUUACCUGCAAGAAAUUUAAAUUAAUUUGGCCAAUUCCUUGAUGAUGAGAACAUCAUUCAUGCAGUAGUGUUAUUGAGAGAAGGACCGAUGAAUUCCUUGCUAAUUGAUUGGGUGCUAAGUAUUAUUGGAUCGAGAACAUGGUUUGUGUUAGUUUUACAUAUAUAAAAUAAAUGGGUAAACGGUUACCCGUUUAUAACCGUGGUUAAUACCCAUGACCGUCCAUUUAAAUUUCAUGGAUAAACGGUUAUACCCAUAACCAUUUAUUUAUUUAAACGGUUACUCAUAACCGUAACCAUUUAAUUUAAAUGGGCGGAUAACCGUGGUUACCCAUAACCAAUGAGUAUUUACCCAUCACUAAGCAUGGGGUUCCUAUAAUAUGAAGGGAGACCUCCAAGAUUGGCUUUUCGGUUGAUGCUAUCUACAUAUUUAUUUUUGUCUCUUACAUACUUUAUGUUAAUUUAUGUUAUGUGAACUUCUCAAUUCAUUUGAUACUAUGGUCAGAAAUUAAGAAGAGUGUGAAAGAUAAAAAAGGAUUGGUGCUAUCUACAUAUUUAUUUUUAUAUUUUACACACUCUAUGUUAAUGUAUGUUACAUGAUCUUCUCAAUUCAUUUGAUAUGACAAUCAAAAUUAAAAAAAAUAUAAAAAAUAAAAAAUAAUGUGCAGAUAGCACUUCCCUUCAAAUAAAUGCAUUAGAUACUAACAACCACUUGACUUGACCAACCGAACACCCACCUUUAAUAAUUUCUGUGUUUUUUCCCUCUUGUUUUUUACCCGUUAAUUAUGAUUUUCUCCCGCCUCUUGUGAUGUGAUGAGUUAAGUGCUUACCAAAGCAAAAGACCAGAGAGAGCAAAAGCAAAUUGGAUACUGUUUCUUUGAGAGCAACUCCAGUCCUUGAAAUUAGGAUGGGCCGAAGCUUAAAAAAAUCUUAUUCGAAAUUAAAAAUAAAAUUAUUUUUUAUUAUUUUAUUAAAAUUUUAAUAAUACUUGAAUACGAAUGAAUUAGAUUUAGAUCAGCAUAUUUUUUAAAGAUGUAUUUGACCAAUUACUAUUUAUUGGGAGUAAUUACAAUUAUUUGAGUGGAUUAAAUAGGCUGGAUGUUAGCAUAUUUUUUAGAUGGAUUGUCUACCCUGCCAUUUCCAUACUCUUUCUAUCAUCUUCUGUUUUAUCUGGUCACGGUUAAGCCACGUUAACAUUUUAUAUUCCUAUUACAUUUUGUUUUAUUAUUUUUAUAAAAAAAUGAAUAUAAAAUGUUGACGUGGCUUAAUUGUGACCACACAAACAGAAGGAGAUGAGCAUAGUAUGGAAAUGGAAGGGCAGACAAUCCACCUCCUAAAAAAUAUGCUGACAUCCAGCCUAUUUAAUCCACUCAAAUAAUUGUAAUUAAUCCCAAUAAAUAGUAAUUGGUCAAAUACAUCUUAAUCUUUGAAAAAUAUGCUGAUAUAAAUCUAAUCAAUUCGUAUUAAAAUAUUACUAAAAUUUUAAUAAAAUAAUAAAAAAUAAUUUUAUUUUUAAUUUCGGAUAAGAUUUUUUUAAGCUUCGGCCCAGCCUAAUUUCAAGGACUGGAGUUGCUCUCAAAGAAAUGGAGAGUCUAUAAGAACUGGAUACCAAACUCUGUUGUGCACGAACUAAAUUCUUGGUUUCGAUAACAAUUGCAAUGGUGGUGAAGGUGUACGGCCCCUUCUAUGCUGCGCCGAAGCGUGUGCUGGUGUGCCUUGUUGAGAAGGAGAUUGAAUUUGAGACCAGCCCCAUUGAUCUCUUCAAGGGUGAACAUAAAUCUCCGGAAUUUCUCAAAUUACAGGUUAGCUUUAGCUAUUCAUUCAUUUGUUAAUCGUGAUUGCUCUACUCGUAUUAAUCUUUUCGGAAACUAUAAAUAUAUUGAUCUUUGCGUUGCUUUGUCUUUAAAAAUACAGCCCUUUGGACAAAUUCCUGUUAUCCAAGAUGGGGAUUAUACUUUGUAUGGUAUGCCUGUUUUUGAAUUUGAAUCAACGUUUGUCAAGUUUUAUCCUUUCUUGUUUGCAGAUAAAUAUUAAUUUGAUUAAUAUUGUCUGUGUUUUCUUUGUUGCAGAUAUUAGUUGAAAAUUGUGAAAUAUCGUAGGAAAUUUUUGAUAGAUAAAGAGUGUAGCAUGUUAUAUUCUUAACUUCAUAUAUCGUUUGACGUAAACCGCAUCGAUCUUGCGGCUUUUUCAUCUGGAAGGUGAUUGUUUUUCAGAUCAGAAGCUGGAUAACUUUGUUGCCAUGGUUAUGUAGUAUUCACCCCAGUAAUUAUGUUUUGUAUAUUUAUCUUGCCUUGAACCUUUUGAGUGACUUUCCCAAAGCAACAAAGUUUGAUCACUAAUGUUUCGGCAGCGAGAAAUUUUGUGUAAAUUGUUUGAUGAAAACCUUGUCCUCCCUUUUCUCUUCUGCAUAAGUGUAGUGACCUAACAAGUUCUGUAAUAAAACCGUCCAAAUUUGAUUUGCAGAAUCGCGCGCAAUCAUAAGGUACUACGCUGAAAAAUACAAAUCCCAGGGGACCGAUUUACUUGGAAAGACGAUUGAGGAAAGAGGUCUUGUGGAACAGUGGCUAGAGGUUGAAGCAAGCAACUAUCACCCGCCACUCGACAACUUGGUCAUGCACAUUUUGUUUGCCUCGGCAUUGGGAUUUCCUUCAGACCCGAAGAUCAUCCAGGAGAGCGAAGAAAAGCUCGGCAAGGUGUUGGACAUUUACGAGGAGCGGCUGUCGAAGAGCAAGUACUUGGCCGGUGAUUUUUUCAGCCUUGCUGAUCUUAGCCACCUUCCGUUCACCCACUACUUGGCCAAUAGUAUGGGGAAGGAGUAUAUGAUAAGGGACAGAAAGCAUGUCUCUGCUUGGUGGGAUGAUAUUAGCAGCAGACCAUCCUGGAAGAAGGUCCUCCAAUUUGGUGCGCCGUUUUAAGGUAUUUAAAGAAAUUGUUGCAUUCGCAACAUUGUCACGUUAAGGAGUUAUUAUAGAGGAGCGUUGGAUUCGCCGGUUCUGGAGCUUGGUCAGAAUAAAUAGUUGAAAGUAACGUGUGGGAAUAAUGAGAUCAUCCGCUCCUUGUAAUUUGCUUUCUCUGUCGGUACACAAGUAAGCUUUUUUCGCUGGAUAUGUAACUAAUGGUUUCAAUCGCUUUAUGGAUCAUGAAUGCUUAUGGCUUAAGCUGAAUUUGGGAGCGUUUUGUUAAAGUUGGUGGCUUAUUGGGAAGCCCUCUCUGCCAGUUUGGGCAUAGGAUGCUAUACCUUAUGUCCAAACUGGCAACUGUUUCACGAACUUUUUUCUAACAAAUCAAGCAAACUUACGAUGGAUUUCUAGGUGUGAUUUGCACUCAGAAUUUCCGCCUAUGACUAGUUGAGAAGAUUCUGAGGUUAAAUUUCAUAAUUGGCAUAUUCCGUUCUAGCUUGAGGUAUGACUUGCUGGAGGUUCUAUUGUGAAACCGAAAAGAUACUGUGCAUGUAAGUGUCAGUCGUGGCUAGCUAUGAAGGAGACGGUUGUUUGUCAUAUGAAUACAAAACAGGGCAGAUAGAUAUCUAUAACUUCAAUGCAUUUCAGAUGCUCUCUCAUCGCAUUUGGCACCUUGUACUUGUUUUAUGUCAUGGCCUCCAUUUUGUAUGCCAUAUUUAUACGAAAUUGUUAUUAGUAUUUUAAUUUCUUUUAAAUAUUUAUAUUUAAAAAGAAGAAUACAUAUGUGAGGAUUGCACAAUGAGAUUUUUGAAGGGUCAAUAGUAAUUCAUUUAUAUGUACAUAAUUUAUCUUUCCCCUACUAACUUAGAGCAUCUCCAAAGCAGAUGUCAAAAUAUCCAAAUCAACACUAAUAGUUGAAAAAUUGCAGCAUAAAUAUUUUCCAAUUGAAAAGUCAAACCGGAUGUCUCAUGACAUGGAUUGGCAUCCCUCACCUUAGCUGCCAAAAUUAAAGCAACUUCAAAUUGUUAUAAACUUCUUAUUUAAGUGUGAUUGUGUAAAUAAUAGAAUAUAUUUUAUUCUAGUUAUUCUUCUCUAUUAGGACUUGUAUUCCUGGGAGGAGAAGGAUUUCUUCCCUUUCUUAUUACUAUAAAUAAAGGCACUGCGUGGGGAAAUAACACAUCCUCUACACAACCCUACAAACACAUCUCUCUCUGUGCCGCCAACCCUCUUUCCCUUGUUAGUUAAAUAUAGGCCAAAACACGUUAUCAGCACACUCCUACCGCUGUGAUUAGGAAUCUGACACAGAAGUUUUUUGCAUCAAACCAGUUCGUCAAUAUCAUCACGCAAUCAGGUUCUUUUAAAACAACGGUUUUUAUCUUGAUAUUUUUGUAGCCUUGAUAGUAUGAACAUUCACCAUAAUGCAUGACCCAACUUUACGUUUUUCAAAUUUUAGAUUCUACAUAAAUUAUGUAUGCAACUAAGAUAAACUAAGAUAAACUAAGCCAAGUCUCUGGGCUCCUCGCGCCUAGCCAAGAUAAACUAAGCCACGAAGCCAGAAGCUCCGGGUUUUGCAACCCAGAAAAACCUUGACGCCAUUAAUGGCGUCUUUGUCCACGACCAUCACGGGCAUGGCCUGUAGCGACCGCCCAGAGCCUUUGGUCAUUGUCAUCGAUGACCAGAAGUCGUCCCCGACGAAAAUUGGACCGAGAUUCGCUUGAAUCUUAUCGGAAUUUUUUUUGAAAAUUCAAUUUGAAUUUUUCUAGGGUUUGGUUGUUGAAACUUUGAGAUUAAACCAUCUUCGUUCACCACCGUGACUUUCCUCGAGUCUUACCAACCCAGACAUGGCUGCCAGAAGCAGCGGCGCCGGGCAUCUUCACUGUUGCGCACACCCUACAUGGUUGGGGUUUGUGUUUGGUCUGACCCAUGGCCCUUUGGGCCUAGACCCUUAUCGGCCUAUUAACAUAAUUAAAAAUAAACUUUUUCCUGGGCCUAUGAACCAAGCCCAGUUGUUGUUCACCCUAAACCCACUUGCAACACCAACCCAUAUGGCUUAGGUCUACCGCAACAUAACCAAGCCCCUGAAGGGCUUUCCGAGUUUCAUGCAUCUAACCACACUAGAUCCCAGCUCGUAGAUGGUGAUUUUGUGCACCUAGCCUGUGAUGCACUCGAUCGCACCCCCUGGGAACAUACGCGCUGUGAAGCAGCAUAUUCGUGCCUCCAUGUUUGGGCCUGUAGCCCAUCUGAGCCCAACCUAGCCUAAGUUUUGGGCUUGGGCUGCACAUUUCAAAUUACUCUGCCCAGCUUGUGGGCUUUGGCCUAUUAUUUUCGGCCCUAAGUUUAAAUGCCUAUUUUUUAGGCCCUAUGAGUUUUAUAAUUUUUCACCCACACUUUAAUUUUUUUGCCCGAAGUCCAAAUAAUUAAUUCAAUUAUAAUUCUAGACCUAAAGUUCUAUUUGCAUAUUUUAUUGUUGUAUAUUUCUGUAUAUAUAUUUGUGUUUGUCUGUAGGAACAUAUGAACCUGAAGUUCAUAAUUAUUUCGAAGCCUGAAGUUUUCCUUAAAAAACAUCACCCAUGAAAAACACAAAGUUUUUUCAUGUAAAUUAAACCAAUAUAUGUCUAUUAGAAUCUGAAUGUUCUACUUCUAUGUGAAUGGAUUGAUUUUUUUUCUCCAUCACACUAACCACAUUUUGUCUAUUUAUUUUGAGAUAGGGGCAUGUCGACUUUAAAAAACUCGACUUCACCGCUUUAGAGAUCUCUAGAAGGAACUAACUCAAGUGGGUCCAAGAUGUGAAGCUCCACCUCACUGUAAAGAAUUUGUGUCCCGCCAUUGAAGAUGAGAUGGAUAACCUGGUUGGCGAAACUGAGAAAGCCACUGCCAUGAUCUUCAUCCAAAGACAUAUUCAUGACGCAUUGCAAACCGAGUACCUUGCUGUGAAAGAUCCAUGAGCACUCUGGGUCGCUUUGGCUGAUCAUUUUGAUUACCAAAAGGACAUCUUCUUGCCUAAAGCAAGACAUGACUACAAACAUUUGCACUUCCAAGACUUUAAGUCUGUGAAUGAAUAUAAUUAUGAAGUUUGUCGAAUCCGAUCACUUCUCAAGUUUUGUAACAAGAACUUGACCAAAGAGGAUCUCCCGGAGAAGACCUAUUCGACCUUCUCUGCUACUAAUAUUGUCCUGUAACAAAAUUUUAAGGCUCAGAAGUUCACCAAUACAAUGAUCUAACAAGUUGCUUACUAAGAAUGUAAAGUUGCACAUCGGAAACCUGAGCAAAUAAAAUACAACACGUAAUUAAUGAUUCCACUACUAAUAAAACCGAAGGUUUUUUUUUUGAGAUAAAACUCCACUGGUCCAUCUUUCUGAAAUCUUGCCAGUUGUUUGAUAAAUCGUCUUCGAUCUGCAAAAUCACGCGUAAUCAUAAGGUAAUACAUAGAAAAGUAUAAGUCACAAGGGACUAAUUUGCUGGGGAAGAAAAUUGAGGAAAGAGGGCUUGUGGAACAAUGGCUGGAAGUUGAAGCACACAACUUCCACCCACCUAGCUACAAUAUGGUCCUUCACAUUCUCUUUGCCUCAGUUUUGGGCUUUCCUUCAGACCCUAAGAUCAUACAAGAAAGUGAAGAAAAGUUGGGAAGAGUGUUGGACAUUUACGAGGAGCGGCUGUCGAAGAGUAAGUACUUGGCUGGUGAUUUCUUUAGCCUUGCUGAUUUUAGCCACCUUCCGCUCACUCAAUUCUUGGUGGCUAAUAUGGGGAAGGAGUAUAUGAUCAAGGACAGAAAGCAUGUCUCUGCAUUGUGGGAUGACAUUAGCAACAUACCAUCUUGGAAGAGGGUCCUCCAGUUUGGUUCCCCAUUUUAAGGUCGAUGUACCUUUGGAAGAAAAUGUAUGUACAUUGGGUGUACACAAUGGUUUUUCUUGUACUGAUAAUGUGCUGUGUAUGAAAAGUUAUUGUGAAAAGAAGGUUUUACUCUCUCGUACUUUAUAUAAACUUUUGUACCCUGGGGUUUUUUAAGAAUAGAAUGGCAGUUUGAAUAAUCUUCUGUAUUGAUUCAUUAAAAUAUACAAGCUAGGCUAGAGUUCUUAUACAAACUGUAAAGAUACAAUCACAUCCUGUAAUUCCUACAAAUAAGCUAAGUAAAUAUAUUUACAAAAGGAAAGAAUAAAUCGUUGAUAGUCAAUGAUCACCAUGCUACCAAAUGGGAAGGAAAUCAUUCAUAUCAUAACACUCCCCCUCAAGUUGGCAAGUGAAUGUCAAAAACCGCUAACUUGCUCAGCAAAAAAUGGAAUUGUUCUUUUCCUAAAGGCUUCGUGAAUAUGUCAGCAACUUGCCUUGAAGAUGGAACAAAUUUGGUGACUACCUUUCCUUGAAUUUUAUCUCGAACAAAAUGACAGUCAAUCUCUAUAUGGCGUGUCCGCUCAUGAAAAACAGGAUUAGCGGCAAUGUGAAAAGCCGCUUGGUUAUCACAGUGUAAAACAGCAGCGCCCAUAUCUUUAAUACGUAAAUCACAUAAAAGACUUUGUAACCAGGUGAGCUCACAACAGGUAGCAGCCAUUAAACGGUACCCUGCUUCUGUAGUAGAUAAUGAGACAGUCUUCUGCUUUUUGCUUUUCCAUGAAAUUAAAGAAUCUCCAAGGAAAACACAAUAUCCGGUAGUAGAACGUCGAAUCACCGAACACCCUGCCCAAUCGGCAUAAAAAAAAGCCUUCAAUUGUAACAAACUUUGUGAGGAAAACAAAAUACCUUGACCUGGAGUGUCCUUCAAAUAUCUCAAAACACGUAAAGCUGCAUCAUAGUGAGGCUUGCGAGGAUGUUGCAUGAAACGACUCAACGUGUUCACUGCAAAAGUAAUAUCGGGUCUACUGAUAGUUAAAUAUAUCAAACGUCCUAUUAAUCUUUGAUAGAUGGACAUAUCGUGAAGUAAAUCUCCUUCAUUAGGAAGUAGCUUCAGAUUUUGUUCCAUGGGGAAGCUAGCUGAUCGUGCUCCCAAAAGACCCAAAUCUUUCAAAAUGUCCAAUAAAUAUUUUCUUUGAGAAAUAAAGAUCCCCUUUUUUGAACGAGCAAUCUCUAUUCCUAAAAAAAUAUUUAAGGGCUCCUAAAUCUUUGAUGCAGAAGCGUUUAUUCAGAAAAGAUUUAAGAGAACCAAUAGCCGUCAUGUCAUUACCAGUGAUCAAGAUAUCAUCAUCGUAAAUAAGGAGAGCUGUGAACGAUUUGCCAACUUUUCUUGUAAAAAGGGAAUAAUUGGCUUUGGACUAUGUAUACCCAGCUGCACAAAUAGCCUCAGAAAACUUAAAAAACCACUGCCGAGAAGCCUGCUUUAAUCCAUACAAAGACUUGUGAAGACGACAUACUAAAUGCUCCCCCUGUCGCCGAAGACCAUGAAGUGGAACCAUAUAUAUUUCCUCAUAGAGAUCACCAUGUAGGAAGGUGUUGUGGACAUCCAUUUGAUGUAGGGACCAGCCACUAGCAGCUGCAAUAGCAAGCAGACAACGAAACGUAACCAACGUUGCAGUCGGGGAAAACAUAUCCUGGUAAUCAACACCUUCAAUUUGAGUGUAACCCUUGGCCACUAAACGAGCUUUGUAACGCUCAAUAGUGCCAUUGGACUUGUGCUUGAUUUUGUAUACCUAACGACAACCAAUAGGGGCCUUGCCAGGUGGAAGUGCAGUCAAAGACCAAGUGGCAUUAACUUCGAGAGCUUGAAUCUCCGAGGUCAUGGCUUCUCACCAUCGAGGAUCUUUAGCAGCCUCUGCAUAUGUGUUAGGUUCAACAGAGAGAGUAAUAUUGGCAAUAAAACUUUGAUAAGAUGGAGAAAGAUUUUUAUAAGAAAUAUACUUGCAUAAAGGAUGGUGAGUACAUUUUUUAGAAGAACCUGGAGUCGAUGCAUUGAGUGGGGAAGACGAGGAAACAUGAGAGCAAGCAUAGUCAUCAAGGUAAGUAGGUGUACGUUUAGGCCUAUCAGAGUGGCGUAUGGAGGGGGCAACAUGUGGACUAGGUGAUGGAGGAGGGCUAUUGGUGACUGUUUGGUUUGAGAGAGGUGUAGCAAUGAAGUUGGAUGAAGUCUCAUUGUCAACCUGAGGGGAUGGUGAGAUGGACUCAACAUGAGUGGGUGGGGUCUCAAUGUCAUCAUGAGUAGGAAGAGGCAAGACAGGUUCUUGAGUUUGGGGUUAAAGGAGUGGUGAUAAAAGGAAAAUUAGACUCAUGAAAAAGCAACAUCUUGGCUGGUGAAUACUUUGUGAGUAGAAAGGUUGUACAACUUAUAUGCUUUUUUACCAAAGGGAUAUCCUAUAAAGACACAUUUGCUGGCUCGUGCAUCAAAUUUAUGAAGAGGUUGAACAUUGGUGGCAUAAGCUAAACAUCCAAAAGUACGCAAGUGUGCAUACGAUGGUGGACGGUCAUAAAGAACCUCAAAAGGUGAUUUAUUGGACAAAAGUGGUGUGGGUAAGCGAUUUAUGAGGUAGAUUGCAGUAAGGACACAAUCUCCCAAAAAAUACAAAGGUAAGUGACUCUGAAAGCGUAGUGCCCUGGCCACUUGCAAAAUAUGACGGUGUUUUCGCUUGACCACUCCAUUUUGUUGUAGAGUAUCUGUGCAAGAACGUUAAAAAAUCAUACCAUUCUCAGAAAAGAAAGAAUGUAGGGACAAAAACUCACUACCAUUAUCAGUUCGAAUUUUCUUAAUUUUGUGAUGGAAUUGAGUUUCUACAUAAGAAAAGAAAGUUUUAAUUAACUGUUGUGUUUCAGAUUUAUGUCUCAUCAAAAAGAGCCAAGUGGUUUGAGAAAAAUCAUCAACAAUUGUUAAGAAAUAUCGAGCCCCAUUAUAAGUAGAAAUUUUGUGCGGUCCCCAAAUGUCACAAUGAACAAGCUAAAAAAUGUGUUUACUGGAAAUAUGACUUAAUGGAAAAGGCAAUCUAGUUUGCUUUACUAAUGGGCAAACAUCAUAAGGUUUAUUUGAAUAAGAAUAAGCAUCUAACGAUUGCUUAGCUAAAAGGUGGAGUCGUUGUGGAGAGGGAUGACCAUGACGACGAUGCCAUGAAAUGGAAUUAACGCAACUAGGUGAAGGUGAAGUGGUGCGGUUACUGUUUGGUUUGGUGAGAUAGUAAAGACCUCCACGUUGUCUACCCCAUCCAAUCAUCUUUCUCAUCUUUAAGUCCUGUAAGACACAAAAAUCCGAAAAAAAUGUUAUGGAGCAUUGAAGGGAUUUUGUUAAACGACUAACGGAUGUCAAAUUAACCAAAAAUGAGGCAAUUCGUAAUACGUUAGUCAAUGAAAGUUUGGGAUCAAAAGUAAAAUUGUCAAUACUACUAAUUGAAACCCUUUCACUAGUCAGAAGUUUUCCUGGUGGUAGAGACUUGUUCACAAUAGAGUUUGAUAGGGGAAGCGCUGUAACAUGAUCCGUGGCGCCACUAUCCAUUAUCCAUUCUUGUGAAUGAUGGGAAAACAAACCUGAGAUUGCAUUGGUCUGUGCUUCAGAUGGCAAAUUUCCAGCCAUCAUAGCAAAGAGUUGUUGAAGCUGCUCAGGAGUAAAAGUCAUCGGUGUUGCUAAUGUAGAGGAAGAAGUUGAAGAAGUUGUUGCUUGAACAUGGUUGGUCGCAGGUUUUCCCUCCUUACCACGGCCCUUUCCCUUGUUCUUUUUAUGGAGACGAUGGUCUUCGGGAUAUCCAUGAAGCUGGUAACAAGUCUCCCUGGUGUGGUGGUCCAUGUCACAAUAAUCGCAAUGUAGCAGCUUGCGAUUCCCUUGCUACCACGGCUAUGUUGAUUACCUCGACCACCUUGAACUGCCAUGGUUGCUCCUUCCACACUUGGUUAUGGGAUGGCUGCAAUUCCACGUUGAUUCUCCUCUUGGUUAACCAUUGAAAAAACUUUGAGCACUGAAGGCAAUGGCUUUACAAGCAGAAUCUGACCUCUCACUGCUGCAUAUGAAUCAUCAAGCCCCAUUAAAAAUUGCAUAACCUUAUUUUGCUCCUCUUUCUCGCUACGGUAUUCCAUGGCACCAUAUGAGCAGUUUUUAUGGCUGCCGUAAGAAGAUAAUUCAUCCCAUAAACCCUUCAAUUGGGAAUAAUAGUCAGACACAGACAUCUGAUUUUGAGUGAAGCGUGCAAUAUCACACUGAAUCUCAAAAAUUCGUAGGACGUUGUCUUGUGAAAAAUGAAUCUUGAGGUCCUCCCAAAUAGCAUGUGCAGUUUCUGCAUAAACCACACUGUUUGAUAACCCAUAACUCACAUAAUUUAAAAUCCACAUGAGAACCGUGUCUUUACAGCGCUGCCAAAGAGCAGCUUCAGUUGCUUUCUUGUCUGACGGCUUCUUCACAGACCCAUCAACAAAACCAAAUUUGUUCUUUGCAUUAAGGGCAAUACGCAUUGAAUGAGACCAUGUGCUAUAAUUGUUUCCAGUAAGUAGAGUAGAAACAAGAUGCAUCCCUGGAUUAUUAGAGUGAUGAAUAUAGAAAGGGCUUGAGGGAUCGUUCGACACCUCAACCGACUUGGAGUCUCCCAUGGCAAAAAAAGCGACUUUGCUCACAAGAAAAACCGAAAAAAGGAACGAAGAGAAACCAAGGAAACAAAAAAAAUCCUAGGAUCUUGGACUCUCUGGUAUCAUCUUAAGAAUAGAAUGGCAGUUUGAAUAAUCUUCUGUAUUGAUUCAUUGAAAUAUACAAGCUAGGCUAGAGUUCUUAUACAAACUGUAAAGAUACAAUCACAUCCCGUAAUUCCUACAAAUCAGCUAAGUAAAUAUAUUUACAAAAGGAAAGAAUAAAUCGUUGAUAGUCAAUGAUCACCAUGCUACCAAAUGGGAAGGAAAUCAUUCAUAUCAUAACAGGGGUUGGUCAAAAUAAAUAAUCAGAACAACUUGUUGGAAUAAUGUGCUCUUUCCUUUAUCAUUUGCUUUAUGUCAUGGUUAUCUGCCGAUCUGUGGUCAUUUUUAUGUGUCAUCUUCCUUCUAUUUUCACUUGAUGAUCGGCACUGCAAGGUCAAGCUCAUCUCUGAUGUUCGAACUUGUGAACUACAUAAUACUUCCCCAAAUUAGGGUUUAUCAAUAGUAAAAUAUGUGUGACUUUAACACCACUUGGCAGUGUGAAGUCGCACUGAGAAGAUUAAGUAGAUAAAUACAUGGGUUAUAGUAUGUAAAAUUAUAAUAUCACGUGACAAUGCAACAAUCAUUUUUAAAGGAUUAAGUACAUAAAUACACGUGUAUAAUAUGAAUUAAAAAGAUCAAGUACAUAAAUACAUGUGUAUAAUAUGAAUAUCAUUCAUGUAAGUGUCUCACGUGAGUGGCUUAAAGGAGACAGUUAUUCAUCAUAUAUUCAUUGUUCAUCAUAUGGAUACAAAACAAGGCAGAUAGAUAUUCAUAACGUCAACGCAUUUCAGAUGCUUUCAUCACAUUUGGCACCUUUUACUCGUCUUAUGUUAUGGCCUCCAUUUUAUAUGCCAUAUGUCUUAUGUUAUGCCCUCCAUUUUAUAUGACAUAUUUAUAAGAAAUUGUUAUUGACAUUGUACAUAAUUGUCUUUCCUAUUGACACUGUACAUAAUUGUCUUUCCCUUGCUAUUUAGAGCAUCUUCAAAAUAGAUGUCAAAAUAUCCAAAUUAGCAUUAACAAUCAAAAGAUAGCAACAAUUUUCCAACCGAAAAACCAAAUUUGAUGUGGCAUGAUAUGGAUUGGCAACCAUCAUCCUUGCUGCCCAAAUUAACAGUAACUUCAAAUCUUUUUUUAAUUAAUUAUUGACUGCAUUUUAUUAAUUUCAUUAUUGUUUUUUAUUUCAAAACAUUUAUUAUAACAUUUUAAUAUAAUAAAAUAAUAGCUUAAUUGACACAUCGGGUGGAGAGAAAACCUAAAAGAUGUCAAACUACCAUAUUGACUGUCAAAUUUAAAUUUUAUGUUUAAACUUAGGUAAAUUACAUUUUACCCCCUCUAGUUGAGGUGAACAAAUUUGUUGGAAUUUUGGAUUGACGGGCGGAGGCGCUCCACUCUAACAAUACUAAUAUUGUUCCCAACUUAGCAAUUACUACCUACCCAAUCCGUCAGGUGUGGGGACAUGAGUAUAAGUUAAAGUGAGAUAAUUAUAUUUAAACUCAUUAUUUCUCUUUCCCAUGUGGGAUAGUCAACAAAAAUAGAUGUUAAGUAAUGACGUGCUAAUAAUAUGUUCCUCAUUUAUGCUGACGUGACCGACUACCAACUUGUGCCACAUAACCAUUAAAUUAAAAGACUUUUCGACUAGAAAAAUGAUCUUCGAAAUGCAUCCUUCUUUAAUCUCUGAAAAUAUAAUUUAUCCUUUAAAAUUUAGCAUCUCUUUUUGAAGAUGCUGCUAAGAAAACUACAAAUGGAUGGAUGUAUGCAUGUGAGCAGCCCCAACGACCCUCCACUCCAAUUUUAAAUUCUUCCAUCAAUUGUUGGGGUGCUAUAUAAUAAGAAGUAAAGAACCACAAGCUGGAGUUUGCAGACUGAAUCUAAAUCCUUCGGUUUUAACACUAAGAAGUCAUAACAUGGUGGUGAAGGUGUAUGGGCCUCUGUACGCCGCCCCAAAGCGUGUGCUGGUAUGCCUUGUUGAGAAAGAGGUUGACUUUGAGACAGUCCCCAUUGAUCUUCUCAAGGGAGAGAACAAACACCCUGAUUUCCUCAAGUUACAGGUUAGCUAAUUAGUUACCUCUUAAUGCAAUUGUUUCUGAUUAGUGAUUGUUUUACUCAUGGUAUGAAUUGAGAUGGUCUUUUGUAAAUAUGUAAUUAUUUCUUUAUUUUCCGAUCGUGACAAAAGAAACACUUAUUCUUUCUUCAACAAUUUAUGCUUUUAGUGGACUUCUCAAUAGGAUUUAAACCCAGAUGAAGUUCUGAUCAUCUGUUAGAGAAAAAAGAAUGAAUAAGUAUGUAAAUUAUUUACUUGUACAUUGGUUUUGUAUUGGUUUGUCUUUAAUUGCAGCCAUUUGGAACAGUUCCUCUCAUUCAAGAUGGGGAUUAUACUCUAUAUGGUAUGCUAUGCUUUCUUUCUAGCACUUGAUCUUUUAGUUUUUAUUAUUUAUAUUGAGGGUAAAUUACACAAAACUAUCUUAACUAUUGGGUCAACUACAGUUUCAUACCCCAUCUUUAAAAAAUUUCAAUGUCAUACCUUAUCUACGAAUUUAUUGUAAUGUCAUACAUUCCGUUAGUUUGUCUGUCAAUUCCUCCGUUAAAUGCUGACGUGGCUUAAAAAAUUUAAUUAAAUAUUAAAAACUAAAAAAAUAAAAUCAUUUAAUUUUUUUCUUUGCAUGGGGGACCCAAGGGAUGGGCAAAAUACUCAUGGGUUUGGGUAACAGCGGUUACCCGUCUAUUUAAAGUUCACAUUUACGAUUAUGGGUAACCGUUUGGACGAACAAAUGGUUAUGGCUAUAACCGUUUAUCCGUGAAAUUUAAAUGGGCGAUUAUGAGUAUUAUCCGCGGUUAUAACGGGUAUCCAUCGGUUAUGGGCAUUACUUACGGUUAUAACGGAUACCCAUUUACCCAUUUAAUUUAAUAUAUGUAAAAUUUAAAAACUAUUGAGCGAACUCUAAAAUUAGUAGGACUAUUGAGCAAACUCUAAAAUACAUGCGUAAUCAUUGUGUUCUUCUUGAAAACCGCCUACUCCAGCUUUGCGCAUAUCAUGUCAAACGUUCCAUUGCUCAUCUGAAACGCCUUUCGAAACUCCUCCUUCGAAACGUCUGGGUGGCCUAAAUUCUCCCACCACACCUUGGACCUGACCUUCACCCAAAGCCUCAUGUGUGGAUCCGAAAUCGUAGCACUCAAAAAUUAGUAGGACUAUUGAGCGAACUCUAAAAUACACGUGUAAUGAUUAUGCGUGUUUUGAAUAAUCUAGUAUUCAAGAUAAUGACUACUUUUUGUUUUUAUAAACUUUACUUUGUAAUCAUAUGGAUUAUAAUUAAAAACUUGCUUGGAUGUAGCAGAAAAAUAUCGUUCAUAAACUUUAAUUUCAAUUAUUGGAAUUGUAUGAGGACUGAAAUGUUUAAAAUAGGGAAAUGCAUGCUAAAAUUUACCUAUAACGGUGUUUAAUUGUCAGAAAACAAAAAUUAUGACAAAUUUUUCUUUUUUAAUUUUCAAGUUGUUAAAAAAAAAAAACAUGUAAACAGGUGAAAAAAGGAGUAAAUGGGUAAAAAAAGGAUAAAUGGGUUCAAAAACGGAUAAAUAGUUAUAGUUAAAUAGGUAAACGGUUAUAGUUAAAUGGGUACACGGUUAUGGGUAUGAUUAACUGUUUAUAUACAGUUAUAGGUAUGAGUAUAACUGUUUAUGCAAUUACCCAACGGGUAAAUGGUUAUGCGAGUAUGAACAUAAAUGGUUAUAGGUAAAUAACCGCGGUUACACGCCCACCGUAACGUUGCCCAUCCCUAGACCCAGCCUUUAUCCCCCUCACCUUUCUUCCCCGCCCCAACCCAAACCUAGAUCCCACCCGCUCCGAUUUUCCCCCAAGCCACCCCCCAAACUAAUCACCCUCAACCUUCUUCCCCAUCUUUCUCCCCUGAACUCAUCACCCUCACCCUUAUACUUUCUCUCUAAAAUCCACUCCCUUUCUCUCUGUAAAAUUUCCAUACCAAAAUUAACGGCAUAUUCCUCUCUCUCUCUCUCUCUGUUCUUCCUCCCAAAUUUUCUCGGAAAAUCCUUCAUUGCAAACCCAAGAACCCAUCAGAAACGUUUAUUUUCCCGGGAACCAAUUAGCCCCCAAAGAAAUUUUUUGAUUCAAAUUAAGGGUUGCUUUCCCAAAUUUUUUGAUUCACUGCAAACCCAAGAACCCAUCAGUGAGUAGGGACUGAUUCAAAAGAAUGCUGGUGAAGAUUAUGAGGUGGUGACCAUGGCUGCAUCUGACGAUGAGGUGAGGCUAGUGUACAGAGGUUGGAGGGUUAGGAUCUGGUGAGGGAGGGUGCAGGCGGGGGCCGGUCCACAAGACAGAAAAAGAGGAGAAGUGGACGGCGGAGAUUAGGUGGAAGGGAUCCAAGGUCAAGGUUGGGACCAAUGAGGCUGCUGUUGCAGUGUGAAAGGGAGAGAGAAUACGGGAGGAAAGGGGAGAGAGAGAGGGGAAGGAUGGUUCUGGGCACAACAAGGGAGUGAAGUGGGGGAGGAAGGUGGGUGAGGUUGGUUUUUAUUAGGGUGCCAUGCAAAAAAAAUAUUAAAUGAUUUUAUUUAUUUUUAGUUUUUAAUAUUUAAUUAUGUUUUUUAAGUCACGUCAGCAUUUAACGGAGGAAUUGACAGACAAACUGACGGAAUGUAUGACAUUGCAACAAAUUCGUACAUAAGGUAUGACAUAAGAUGAGGUAUGAAACUAUGGUUGACCCAAUAAUUGAGGUAAUUUUAUGUAAUUUACUCUUAUUCUGAUACAAAUGAUAGUGGGCUAUGAAAUCUCAAUUGCAUUGGUGAAUAUUCGUAAUUGAGUAACAACUAUUUUUGCUAGCACAUGAUAUAUUUUACUUUUGGGUCCAAAUUUAUCGUCUUUUGAGAAUUUCCUUAGCAUCAGAUUGACAUUACAAUACACUUGCUCAUUGGUUUCUUAACAUCACCAAUACAAUGAUCUAACAAGUUGUUUAAGAAUGUAAAGUUGCACGUACCAAAUAAAAUACAACACAUAACUAGUGAUUCCACUACUAAUAGAACUUGCUUGAAAGGUGUUCGAUGAAAUGCCUGAACUGAUCACCAAUACAAUGAUCUAACAAGUUGCUUACUAAGAAUGUAAAGUUGCACAUCGGAAACCUGAACAAAUAAAAUACAACACAUAAUUAGUGAUUCCACUACUAAUAGAACCGAAUUUUUUUAUUUUUAUUUUUAUUUUUUUGAGAUAAAACUCCACUGGUCCGUCUUUCUGAAAUCUUACCAAUUGUUUGAUUAAAUUGUCUUCGAUCUGCAGAAUCACGUGCAAUCAUGAGGUACUACGCAGAAAAAUAUAAGUCACAAGGGACUGAUUUGCUGGGAAAGACAAUUGAGGAAAGAGGGCUUGUGGAACAAUGGCUGGAAGUUGAAGCACACAACUUCCAGCCACCAAUCUACAACUUGGUCGUUCACAUUCUCUUUUCCCCAGUUUUGGGUUUUCCUUCAGACCCCAAGAUCUUACAAGAGAGUGAAGAAAAGCUGGGAAAAGUGCUGGACAUUUACGAGGAGCAACUGUCGAAAUGCAAGUACUUGGCCGGUGAUUUCUUCAGCCUUGCUGAUCUUAGCCACCUUCCAUUCACUCACUUCUUGGUGGCUAAUAUGGGGAAGGAGUAUAUGAUCAGGGACAGAAAGCAUGUCUCUGCAUGGUGGGAUGACAUUAGCAACAGACCAUCUUGGAAGAGGGUCCUACAGUUUGGUGACCCAUUUUAAGGUUGAUGUACCUCUGGAAGAAAAAUUGUGUACUACGGGUGUGUACAAUUGUUUUUCUUGCAGUGAUGACGUGUUGUGUAUGAAACAUUAUUGUGAGAAGAAUGUUAAAUUCUCGUGUAGUUUAUAUAACUAUUGUACCCUGGAGUUGGGCAAAAUAAAUAAUCAGAACAGCUUGUUGGAAUAAUGUGCUAUCUCCUUGAUCAUUUGCUUUAUGUCAUGGCUUGUGAGAUGUUUUUUAUUUCUCUGUAAGACGUAUUCGACCUUCCAUUUGCUAAUUGGCUGAUCUUUGAUCGUUUUUCUGCUUCAUCUUCCUUCUAUUUUUUUGUUUCUGGUUUUUUCAGUAGUCCUCAUCUGUGAUGCCCGAACUUGUGAACUACAGGGUUGAUACCUCUCCAAAUUAGGAGUAGCAAAAAAUAGAGUACUGCAAUAUGCAUGACUUUAAUGUCACGUGACAGUAUGAUAAUCACAUUAAAAAGAUCAAGUAAAAAAUACACGUGUAAAUAUGUAUAAUUAUGGCAUUAUAUGACGGUGUGACAGACUCACUGAAAAAAAAAUCUACAAACUUAAGAGCUUAGUUUUGCUAGAAAGGGUCAUGCUUGUACCUUGUAGGUUUAUGGGCCUUCUUCAGGCUGAAUUUGUUGUUAAUUUUAAUUGCUUUUGAAAACCUCAUUAGUUUUGUGAAUGUUUGAUAUCAGAUCGUUACGAAAAAAGCUAAACAAAAUUGUUUAUAUUAAUUUUCCAAAAAAAAAUUGUUUAUAUUAAUACACUAAAGAUUGUAUGAUACUGAUCAAAAUCAAAUUACAAACAUGUACAUCUAUUAUAUUUGGACCGUGAGCUUUGCAUAUACGUUAAAGAACAAUGUUCGACUCUUUAUAUAUAAAGAGUAUUUUGAAACGUGUAACUUAUUAAACUCACAUAAAAAGUUAGGUUUUUAUCAUAAAUGGUCCUUAAAAUUGACCCACCCUAUCAAGAUGGUACCUGAAAUUGAAAAUCAAUCAAUUUGAUCCUUGAAAAUGGAUAUCGCAAAUCAAUAUGGUCAUUCCGUCACAAAUCUGUCAAAAUUCUAUCAUGUACUAAUGUGGCACAUAACUGGAUCCCAUAAGUCUAAUUGAAUAUUGACAUUUGGAUUAAAAAUUAUUAAUAAUAAAUAUCUUUUUUGUUGGGUUAUUUUAUUCACACCCUACAUUUUGUUGAUUACACUUCACAUACUUAAUAAACCCCACUUUUACUUUUUGAACUAAAAUUUAUCUUAAUAUACCCCACAUUUUUUCCAAUACUACCCUCACACCCAACAUACACAAUAAUAAGACACCUAACGCUCAAACUCUUUGUCAAUAUUUAGGUUUAUGUCAAUUGAGUGUUUAGUUUUUUGUCAAUUAGGGAUUUUAGAUUUCGUAUUUGAAGAAAUUGGAUCAAAAGCAUCGAAUGCAAACCAAGUUCUGCAAAAAAUAGAAUAAAGCCUUUGUAAUCUUAGCAAGUGAAUUCAAAAGGUUGUUCAAGAGAAUUUCGGAAGUGUCCAUCAUCAAUUCAUCAUCAAGCCAUCACAUUGAAGACUAUUACUUCUAUUGGCUCGAGUAAGGAGAAAUAAUGUGACAAGUUGCCCUAAGUCGCUUCAUGAGGUUUUCAAUAUUUAUUUUCUGUAUACGAUCAAUAGGCAACAGCAAACUCCAUCAUAUCAAAAGCAAACCAGUUCAAUUUUCUAUGAAGUGAAUUUUGCCAAUCGAAUGAAAUAUUAUAAACAUAAACUGAUAUGUGAUAAAUGACAUUGCAAUGAAUUGUAUCGUUGAGUUCAACAUCGGGUGAGAGUGACUUCGAGAGCUUGAAGAAAAUAAUAUACACUAACCUGUGCACAAAAUGAAUGGAAUUUGCUUUGCAGCCAUAAAAAAUUCAAUUCGUUAAUUGAAUCUCCAACAUAUCAUUUUGUUGAAUCUUUUAGAAGGAUUAACACAAAACGAAUGGAAUGUUUUAUUGGCUGCGCAGGCCUUAAGGUUUUAACAGACAUGGUUGGAGAGAGGAAGCAACAGCCCACAAAGUUUGCAAUCCGAGCAGAAAGAAAAAACCAAGGAUAACAAUGUUUUAUCAUGGUUUCGUUGUUUUUGGCACCCAGAAAGUUAGGCUGUGGGAAAUCAAAUGUCUUCUGAUAAAUAUAUACCCACCUAAUUAAGUACAACCAUGCAUGCACAACGAACACCAAUGCUUCCUGAUAAGAGAUUUUACCACACAUGCACAAGGGUUAAAAACUCCUAUAUUACUUGUAAGAAUGACAAGGUUAUUGUAGUAUAAACGGUUCUCGCAAGGUCGUUCUCCAUAAGGAUUAUUAAAUAAUUAGAAGCAAAUCAAAUUCCAAUUAAUUAUUAUAAAGGAGAAAGUUGAGAUGAUUGAUUUUUUAUGACCUAAUUUAAUAAAACGAAUUUAACUAAUAAAAAUAAGACAAUCUGCAAUAUUAAAGCUGAAGGGAAAGAAAACAGUUUUGUAGAAAUCAAAUUAAGGAAACACUAGGGAUCUGCUGUCACCUUAACAAUCCUAUAUAGUUUGUCCAAUUACUUAUAACCUAUACAUGCAUAUUUCGAAGGUUAGGUGUUCUUAAUAUAUGCCUACUUGGACCCCCAACAUAGAACGUAUAUCAAACAUGCAAUCCAUCUGUGGUAUUCAGAUCAAAUCUAAACAUGCACACCUCAUUAAGUUUUGUAAAACUUUUUGAAAAACCAUGCAACCUUUAAGACGUGGUAUUCAUCUUAAGUGAACUUGCACAUAUUAACCACAAGAAGCCUUCGUCAAUUUCAGGGAUCGACCUCCGACCAAAAUUGCAUCAAAUUACUUUUCUAAACAUCCUAAUGGUGAUCAAGCAUCAAGACAAAUAGAUAGUUUAAACCAGUGCUUAAUAAUUUGAAAACCUGCAUGCAUAUAAUCAUAAGCAAAUUGAAGAGAAACUACAUAUUCUCGUUAAGGCUCAUGGUCUCACCCUAACAAAAAGAGAAUUAGUUAUACAUAUUCAUAAUAAAAAUCAUAAAGUUCUUUAUUGAAAUAAUAAAAGAUCAAAAACACUUAGAAUGGAAGUAGUCUGAAAAUCUCUACGAUUGGCCAAUUUCCUCUCUUCAAGAAUGCACGAAGAAGUUACAAGAAUAAAGCCGCCCAAACUUAUUUAACCUAGCAGAAAUUAAAUUCUCCUAAUAAAAGGUCUUCCAAUCGAACUAGGAAACUAAAUAACUAAAAUAAAAUAGAAAACAUAACCCUAAAUUAAAUGGUAAAAUUCACCUAAAAUAUGAACAGCCACGUUUUAGACCACUAAACUGCUCCAAAACCGUCCCAAUACAGCUGGGUUUAAAGUUUGGAAUAUUCUGAACAUUUUUCCAGAAGGUCACGAACCCAUCAAAGGUCAUCUCGGGCUUCAAAAACUCAAUUUAAGCUCAGAAACGUCAUUUUCGAACACUGCACACUGCUUCUUUAUUCCGUCGCCAGAAAAUAACCGUUUGGUAGAAAAAUUCUAAACUUCGAUAUCAACACUCCAAGAGACACACGAACAUCCUUCAAUUUGAAUCACUCUAAAAUUCGUCCGUUUGAUCAUGUUUUGCUCCAGAGGAAGUCAAAUAUCCUAUAUUGAAAAUAUAAAUCAAAGUAUCAAAAUUCUAUCAAAAUAAUUACCAAAACACACUAAGAAUAGGGUAAAAUAUAUAAUAUGAAAUUGACUCAUCACUUCCAAAACCCGAACCUAAAACCUCGUUAUCACAAACACACAACACAACAUAAGGACAUCAGAAGCAACGGCGAAGCAUCUAUUCAUCUUCUUUCUUCUUUUUUUUCCUUUUUCUUUAAGUUUUAUAUUAUGCAAAAAUAAAAAUUAUUAUUUAAUUGUGUAAUUAUUUUUAAUUCAAAUGUCAACAUUUAAUUAGAAUUGUGGAACCUAGGGCUGGGCACGGGCCAGGCCGAGCCCAAUUUUAAAGGAACCGAACCUUACCCGUUUUAAACAGUAACAAGGCGAGCCGGACCAGGUAGAGGGUUUUUAAGUUUGGGAACCGGGCUGGUUUAAGAUGGGUCCACGGGUCUAAUUAACCUUUUUUUUUCUUUUCCGGUUUUGAUACAGAGCUCUAGAACGUUCCACAGUUCUAGAUUGCUCCUACUGCCAACGAAAUUGACGGCUUGGAAGCUACCCGCACCAGCAGCUGAACCACUGGUGGUGAAUCGGUGAAGGUGGUGGUCCUCAUCUCUCCUAAUCCCAAAUCAAGGUCUCUGUCUCUUGACUCCGAUCGACGAGCAUGGCGCGAGGCUCCAAUCUGACUCAGAUCGACGAUGGUAGUCCUUUGUAUGUACUCAGUGAACCAAACCCUGUUGGCGGACACGCCGCUGGCUGCGAUGAGCUUUUGGGUGUCGAGCACCAUGAUUCUGUAUGCUUUGCACGACGGCGAAGCCAUCGCCUACCAAACCGAAGAUGAAUUCCAUAUCCUUAUGAUAAAAGGCAGAAAGUCCUAAUUUUUAAUUAUAUUUUCCACUAAGAUGAAACCUUUUGUCAAAAAUGUGGACGUAGGGGCAAUGCCUUUGUGUUCUUUGAAUGGGUAUUUCAGAAUCUAAUUAAUCUCCUAGGUUUUUUGAAUUUUGGUGCUCUAUCUAGAUCGGUUCUGUAGAAGUCUCGAAGCAAUCGGCGCAAUGAAUUCGAGGGUGGGAGGGAGAAGAGAAUGAGGAAUAGGUGGUGCCGUCGAGGGAGCUGAGCCAUUGUGGUGGUGGAGGAGAUGACUCGAGUGGGAGUCUGGUCUAAGUCUAGGAAGGAAAGGGACGAUGGGAUGGAAUGGAUAAUGGAUUAGGUUUAGAGAAUUAGUAAAUGGGUUAUAGUUAGAAACGGGCCAUCUGGGGCCCCGUUAUUCCAAAUCCUAAGACUCGACCUGCCCCUUAAAUAUUAUGGAUCCGCCCUGCCCCGUCCCAUUUCUAUUCUCAAAAAAUUGAAACCGGCCUAUACCCGCCCCAAACCUUGAUUACCCGCCUCGACCCUCGGUUCUUGUACCCGUUUGCCCUAUGUGCCACAUCAGCACAUAACAUAAUUUUUGACAAAUUUGUCACGGAAUGACUACAUUGAUUUAUGAUAUCCAUUUUUAAGGAUCAUUUUGAUUGAUUUUCAAUUUCAGGGACCAUCUUAAUGGAAUAGUCAAUUUCAACGACCAUUUGUGAUAAAAACCUUAAAAUUUUUUUGCAUACAUGUCAAAUUAUAAUUUUUCUGUUAAACCUUAGCCAGAUGCGACUAGUCAGCCUUACGAACUCGAGAAUUCUUGUAGCAGUUGUACGUGGCACUGAGAUCUUUGUCGUGCAUCUAUCGACUUGAAACGUAACACAAAAAAAUGAUGAUGGUCAAACUGAUCAAGCGGCAGUAAUAUUAGAAGUCUUGUUUAAUUGUUUACAUUUUGAAUAAGAUUAAAUGAACCAGCAGGUAUGUUGCCCACAAUACAAGAAAUGCCUUUUCAUGAAGUUUACCAUUGGGAGCUAUUCACCAUCUGGUUUUUCCAAUGAGAUAUAACGACUUUGUGUGUUGUGAUCACUGUUUAAAAGUCUCGCCUAGGCCUUGCUUAGGUGUUAGGUGCUAAGCUACUAUUACGAUUAAGCAUUAGACGUUUAAAAAAUAAAAAUUGGCACCUAGAUUUGCUUAGGCACCUACCUAGUAAAACGCCUAGGUCAUGACUCUCAUUUAGACAGAAAAUAGAUAAUUUUCCUUUUGCAUUUUAUUUUUGAAGAAAUUAGGUUCCCUUCAUUUAUUUUUUCUUACUCCAUUGAUUAAAACCUUAUUCCUUUUCAACUUUUGAUUAAGAUCCUUAGGUUUUAAUGAAUGUCAUUAUUUCAAUAAUAAAAUAUUUACAUGUCAAGAUAAUUAAAUUUUGUUACUAAAUAUAUUCAUUUAGUGUUAGAAACGUUACAUUUGGUAUGUUUAUAUUUAUGACUAAAGUUUGUAUCAUAUAUUUCUAUUUUUAGUUUGUACCCAUUUUUAAUUUGCAACCAUUUUUUUAAUUUGUACCAUUUUUCUUUAUAGUUUUAAAUUGUACCCAUAUAUUAAUUUUUUUGUUCCCAUAUUUUUAAAUUUUUAUUUGUAAUCAUAAUUUUUUUCCUAUUUUAUUAGUGCCUAUAAUUUAUUUAUUGUCACAUCCCAGCCCUGGCCCCCACCAUAUCCCAUGACACACCCCGACCGAGAUCAAGGCAUGCUGGCCGUCACGUGAGGGUGACGUAGCCAUGUGCGCAGUGCGGAAGCAAUUAAGAUAAGAAAUAUACGGAUAUUAAAAAACCGAAACUACUAGAGUGCACUAUAAAGCAUGAAGUGAUAAGAGUUAGUUACAAAAGUAAAUACUCCUAAUCGGAGCAUAAUAAUCCUAGGUGCAGUCCAGUAGGACAAGUACUAGUUAUACAAUACCAGAAAUGUCCUAUUAUUAUUUAGAUAUGUUAGAAACGCCGAAGUCCUCGAACCCAGCAACAGCAAGCUUAUCGAAAACCUGGAGGGGCGCAAAACAGAAAACGUGAGUGGGCAAAAACAAAUGUUUUACAAAACCAUUUCAUUUAUCAACAUAUCUAACCCUUCACUAUAAAACAUGUAUAAUUUUUCCCAGAAUCAAGAUAUAUGCAUAUACAUAAAUAUAUAUAUAUAUAUAUAUAAUUAUAUCAAUUCAAACCAUGCUUCACAUAAUCAUUUUCAUAAGUAUGCCAUGCCAAAAUAUAACAGAGUAAGCAAUUCAAGUAAGAAUAAUUUCAUAGAAAUAUAACAUGUUAGUCGGAACCCUUGUGGUAAUCUGUACGGCUGAAUUCAUAGCUCAAAAGUCAAUCUAGCCGGAGUCAAUACAAUGACCUAUACGGCAACAUACUGCACAAGAGUCAGAGCCAAAUGAAAAGGUCUGUACGACAAUAAUGGGUGUAAUAUAAUCAUGCUCAACACUACUCUCACAUAAUAGUUGGGCGAUAAAUCGCUAGUCACCUACGAGUCGGAACCAUAAAUAAGGUCUGUACGACAAGGCUAUGCACCUAAAUUGGAUCCAAUAUGAGCAUAUGGUGCGGGAGGUGACAUACUAAACAGGCUUGUGCCAAAUCUCUGGCUAAAUCACAAUCACCCUAGGUGCAGUUUUAUGAGUUCAACAUUAUUCAAUCACAUAUCGCAUCAUUGACAAUUCGCAUAACCCAAUAUAACUCACCUGAGCUUAACUGAGCGUCCACAACACCACACACACACACACACACACACAUAUAAAGCAUCAUAUACUAAUUCAUAUGCUGAAUAUAAAUUUAUAUGCAUGGCAUUUCAAAGCAUACUUUCAUUUAAAUGCAUUUUCUGGGAAAAUAUCAAGUAUAUAAGUAUAUACUGAAAACCAAAAGCCCACUCACUGGUAUGUCGAAGGAUCGUAGCCCCCGAGUCACCCUUGAAUGCGCUCGUCCUCGGGAUAAGUCUCACCUAUAUGCGAAUUAACUAUAAAAAUGUUAUUUUAGAGCACAUACACAAAACUAGUUAAUAACUUCUCAUACAAUGCUCAAUUUUGGUAUUUGAAUAUACCACAGUGACCUACACAACCUCAGGAUCAUCUCCAAAUUUUUAGAAUAAUUCUUGGACCCCUCAAGCGCCGCCAAGGCCACGGCCCUACGCGCCCCCACGCGCGGCCACGUGACAAGCAUACUGACGACAUCAGUCAACACCGUCAGGAAUAUUCUAGGGAAUAUUCCAUUAAAAUCCAACGGUAAUUGUUAAAGAUGACUGACGGCGUUAGCUUAUUCCGUCAACCUUGACGGAAGAUACUCCUUUCUUCUCCGGCGACUUCGCUGGUUUCUAGGUAAAACUUUAAAACCACUAUUCUCUUUCGUUUCUUCACCAUUUUCCACAAAAUUGGUACCAAAAUGAAGCUAAUAGCAUGCAAAAUCACGUUAUACAAGUUUCAAGGCUUAAAAUCUACUAGGUUUUCCUCGAGAAAGCUUGAUAGUUCGGCUUACCUAGAUAUACAUCGAUCUCAGCCUUCCGAUGUCCAAUUUCUUCCAACGAAGUACCCUGAGACUCGUGAGGACCUCCUUAAGCUUCCUAUAAACUUCAAAUUCCCUUAAAUACAAGAUUUCACGUAUACAUGAACAGUGGCAAAAUCGGAGCUAGGGUUUCCACGUGAAAUCGAAGGUUCCCUUACCUGAAAAUGGUAUUUUUAAACUCGUAUGGUCCUCACGAACACAAUGAUGAUCUUAAAACCUUUGAUCUACAAGGUUUGAGAGGGUUUCUGGGUUGGUCCGUAUGAAAAAGGGAGAAAGAGAGUGAGAGUCUGAGAGAGAAAGAGCACGGGAAGGAGAGAGAGAAAAGGUGGGAGUGUGUGUGUGGUCCAAAAGUCACCAAUCUAAACUAAGAGAAACACUUAGUUCUCAUUGGGUCAAAUAAUAGAGGAAUAAUGCAAGUUUGAACCCCCUUAAUAUGCAUAACACACACCACAAUACUUGGAUAUAACUGUCAUUUCAUUUCGUCGAAAAUUAAAUAUUCGGAACGGGUUGUGACAUCCCAGGCUCGACUCUGCCGUAGCACAAUAUUGUCCGUUUUGGGCCCCGACCACACCCUCACGGUUUUGUUUCUAGGAACUCACACGAGAACUUCCCAGUGGGUCACCCUUCUUGGGAUUGCUCUCGCGCGAACUCGCUUAACUUUAGAGUUCCGAUGGAACCCCAAGCCAACGAGCUCCCAAAAUGCCUCGUGCUAGGUAGAGAUAUGAAUAUACAUAUAAGGCUUACAUGAUCCUCACCCCUAGGCGAUGUGGGAUCUUACAAUCCACCCCCCUUAGGGGCCCGAUGUCCUCGUCAGCACACUUCUGGUUAAGGAUUGGCUCUAAUACCAAACUGACACACCCAGCCAGGACGCCUCGAUUUGGGUCGGGGUGUGUCAUUUAUAAUGUGCCUAUGUAUCUUUAAAAAUGUACCACUUGUUAUAUGUAAAAUUUACCAAUUUUUUAAUUUAAAAUGUAUCCAUUGUUGUUUAUAUAAAAUGUACGCAUUGUUUUCUAUAUAAAAUGUACCCAUGUUUUUAAUAUAAAAUUUCCCCAUUUUGUGUAUAAAAUGAACCCACAUUUUUUAAUUUAUAAUUAAGUGCGCCAUUGUACUCAUACAAUUAUACGGGUACAUUUUUUUUCAAACAUUUUUAUGGGUUACAUAUUAAAACAUUUUAGUUUUGGAACAAUGUUGAAAUUGUACUCCAUAGAUAAUUAUAUAUAGCCAAUGUACGGGUACAUUCUUUUAACAUGUGACAACUAUUUUAUCAUUCAUAACAAUGUUUUCUUUUGGUCAAAUUCAUAACAAUGUUGGAUACAUUCUUUUGGCACUUUUUUUAAACAUUGUUUCCAAUCGAUUGAUACAUAUAUAUGCGAACAUGUACUUAACAUUUAUUAAUAUACAUUUUCAUAAGAAAUUAUAUUGUUAUAUUGAUAUUAAUCAAUCAAAAUUUUGAAAAAAUUUCCAUAUUUUUUGUUGGCCCUUUUAUUUUAUAGCUCAUCAGAUGUGAGAUUUUAAAUACCAUAAAAUCUCAAGCUUUAUUGUUGACAUGGAAAUAUAUUAAUAUUAAUAUGUUGAGGUGUACAAAGUUAAAGGACUUUGAUCAAAAAUUGACAACCACUAAGGUUUUAAUCAAUGAGUAUUAGUGGCUAGGGACCGCAUCCAAAGUCUCUAUUUAUUUUUUCAAUAAAUUGUAUGAGACUUGUUGGAUAGUUAGACAAACACUCAUUAUAUACUUGUUUCUCAUGUUUCCAAUAUGUUCUAGUACUUUAUAAUUUAUAUAUUAUUUCUAUUUUGCAUAUAUGUGUGACAACUCGUCUCUAAUUUUACGGUUUUAUUAAUUUUAAAAGAUAUUUACAGCAAUGAGUAGUAUUAUGUCGACGUAAAUUAUCGAUUAUUGUUUUAUGAUUCUAUUCACGUUAUCUGCUCAUCGUGUGCUACAUUGGUGUUAGUACUCACUCAGGUCAGGGCUAAUCUUUCACGUGUAUGUUCACAUUGCAUAAUACGCUCACUUUGGAUCCAUUGUAGGUGCCAAUCAUGUUCUAGAUUGCUAUAGGUAAUUAGGACUCGUAUGUGAUGCACAUAGUACCAGUCUUCACGUAAUUGUAGUACUAGAGCUUAAAUCAUUAUUACACCCAGUCUUGUUCAUGUCAGAAUACCUCUGCAUGAACUCGUGUCAGCAUAUGUUUAUGAGCACUCAAUGUGAUAUGUUUAUUUCUGCGAGAUAUUAUGAUUACUGGAAGUUAUAUGCCUAUUUACGAAAUUUGUGACGAGUUGAAUUCUUGAGAUAUUGCAAGAUACGGUAAGUAUUUUCAUACUAUACGUAGUAUGAAUAUUUUGAAAACUAUUCUUGUUUUACGACGAGGGGUUAUAAUGUUUUCAAAAAUGUUUUUAUAAAACUUUAUUUUUAGGCCUACUCACCCUUGUUUUUCGCCCCUCCAGGUUUUAGUGCUGAGCUUUCGUGUCGACGAGGAUUCUUGGCAAACUUUGAUAUAUGUGAUUACCUUCGACGGAUUAAUUCUUAUCCUACUUUUACUGUACUUUACUUAUGCUCUGACAUCACGUGUGAAUUGGGUUUAUUCCCGCUCACAAACGCACUCAUACAUUUAGGUACUUUUAGGUUUAAAUUUAUUCACAUUUUCCAUAUCACUACACUUUAUGGCUUCGCCACCCUCCUGGUGUCGACUAGCACAGCUCGAUUCGGAGUCCAGGUGGACAUUCCGGGUCAGGGUGUAUCAGUUUGGUAUCUGAGCAUAAGUUUGGAUAGUAUUACUUUCAUCACUCCUUUAAAAUAAUAAAACUGUAAAAUUAGUGACGAGUUGUCACAUAUGUAUUCCAGUACAACUGCGUAUUUUUUUUAAAGUAUAAAUAGAAAUUUUUUUGUACGUUAUAUAAUAAAUUUAAUUAAAAAUUAAAAAAAAAGACCUAAGCCCCCCCCCCCAAAAAAAAAUCCCAGGCGCUAGAUUCCUGUCUACCACCCGAUUAGUGUGCCUUUUAGAACUUUAGUUGUGACCAAUACAUGAGUGUUAAAUUCCCACUUUAGGGUUUCAAAGGGUGGAAAAAAUGGUGGUAACAAAAAAACAUGGUCAGAUAGUUUUUUUAGCCCGGUCCACUAAUAAUUGUUAGGGAGCACAAGUACAAAAAAACACUUUGCUAUGCAGGUCCUUCGUCGCGCAAAGUUAAAAAAACGUUGCCCAAAAAUUAGCACAACGAAACUUUCGUCGCGCGCCAACUGUCACGCCAAGACAGUUACAACAGGGUUUGUGUGACAAAAAAGUAACAUGCCUUGCACAAAACUACUUUGCAUGACAGACAACCUACGUCGUGCAAACCCUUUCUUUUUUUUGGCAAAAAUAUUUUUUUAUUUAAUUUUUUUAUUUAUAAUUAUUGUAAUUAAAUUAUAAAUAAUAAUUAAUAAACCAAUAAAAAAUAUUUAAUUAUAAAAUAUAUGAAAAUGUACAUACAAGAUGUUCGAACAAAAAAGAAAAAACUACAAGAAGUAGUCUUCUACGUUUGAUACAUCAAGCUACUAAAUAUCGACUGGGCGAAGUGGCUGGGAGGUCGAAGGUGGAGCAAGAUCAGAUGCUGGCAUCGGGAUUUGAAGGCCAGACAUCUGUAAAGCUCGUAAGAUCAUACUCAUCUUAUCGUCUUGGGCCGAUAACUAGGCUGCAAUCUCAGCUUCCCGGAUUGCUUCUUGGGCCGCAAGCUGACCUUUUAGGGUUGCCACUUCCUCCGUCAAGGCUGACCUGUCCUAUGGUCGAUCUGGAAAAGGAGGCACCCGUCUCACGAACCCGCGCAUUCCCUGUACACCGAAAAAACUUAAAUUUAGGACAUGUAAAUCAGACCCGUCAAAUUUAGGAAAACAAAUAGAUGAUAACAAUGAAUUAUGAUACAAACUGUCAAAUCUCUACUCUUCCCAUAUACAUUUUGUCCAUAUAAUUUCCGUCACUUUAUCCGAGGCGUGCAUCAAGUACAGAUAAUUCAUAAAUCAAUGAUUUGAAACCAAAGUGAGGAAAUAAAGUGCAUGUGUUUUCCACUAUAACAAGAAAACAGCUCAAUGAAAAAUACGAACAUUGAUGAUAGAAUGUAGUAUAAAUAGAGCAUGUAUAAUAAGUUAAUAACUGAUUGCAAACACGAAAAAAUUAUGACUUACAUGGGUACCGUCACGACCAGUUAAGGGAGAGUCAUUGACACCAAAAGUCAUGGGCACAGUUGAUCACCUACACCGUCAUCACAUAACAAUAACACCAAAAACCACAGAAGGUUCCACAUUGCGGAGAGUUUUUUGGUUUUUGAUUCUCAAAAUGGUAUAUCAUAUGGUCCAGUAGUAAGCUCCAAAGACACAAGUGCAAAUGAAUUAUGCAACUACCACGUUUUUCAAUAGCUACUUUCUAAGUGUCAUCAACACCAACAGUUUUAGUUACACAUACACACACAUGAAAUGGAAAUCCUACGAUAGGGUUUAAUAUAAAUUGAGCUAUAGAACUGAUCACAUUUGGAGAAACUUGAACCACUAAAAACUGUUAUGCACUUAAUAUAAACACUGCAUUCACAAAUGAGAAAGCACACAAGUGUAGUGUGAUGUACUAAAAAAUUACUUGUAGAGUUUUCCAAAAGUGUCUCUCAAGCGAGCAACAUCAGCACCAACAACUUCAGCCACCUUCUUCCCAUCUUGAAAGAGAUGGAAUGUAGGCUGCACCAGAGUACACACAUCAAAUUACAAACCAAAUAGAUCUUGGAUUUUACCAUAUCCAAGUAAAAACAUAUAGAAUUACUAAGAAGCAAAACCAGUAAUAAUCCAUUCAAAAGACCAUCUUAAAAAGAUCAUCCCACCAGUGCCAUGAAUAAAAGAAGCUAUAUAUGAAGAACAAAAUAAAUUGGAAUAUUUUCUUUCAAACAUAAUAAGAGCAAUCAUUUACCACAGCAGAAAUAUUCAACUUGCCCAAAGUGUUUGUAAGUCCUUCCUGUAUAUAGAAUAAACAAGGUUAGGUAUGAAUUUAAAAAAUAAAAAAAAAUCAUGCUCCCAAAUUAAAAAUAAAUGAAAUUACUUUCAAACUAGCUAACCAUUACAUGCCAGAUGGCUAUAAGCCCACAAGUAAAGUUAUUGCUACAACUAACUUGAGAAUUGAAACCCGUAACGAAUAACUAGAUUUCAUAAUUAACAACACUUAACAUAUAACUAGGUUCCAUAAUAACUAGAUUCCUAUGCGAAUGCGCACCUCAUCGAUGUCAAUCUUAUAUGUUGUUGCAUGUGGGUAUUGCUCACUCAACUCUCCAAUGACUGGAGAUAUGAACCUGCCUGCACAAGAGAUCACACCAAAGUACCAAUUUUAAGUUCAAAACACAUAAUUACGCCACAUUUUGUGCCAAUGACUUCGUUGCUUAAAAGAAAACAUAUUUCGAACUUACAAGGCCCGCACCAGACUGCAGUGAAGUAGAAAAGUGCUGGCUCAGCUCCGUCUAUAUGAAAUUUAACAUAUAAAUCAGAUAAUUUGCAUAAAUGUUUGAUAAGUUUUCUCAAAACAAAACAAUUUUGAAAACCAAGAAAAAUUACCCUUAGCUUUGCUGAUUGUGCUGUUGUAUUCAUCCUCUGACUUAAUGACAACAAUGUUUGAGGAACCUGAAAUUCAAGUUAAUCAAGAAUUCAAUUUAAUGAGCUAUUCCAAAACUCAAAAUUCAAAAAUUGAAACUUUGAACAAUGGCUGAAACAAUAACAAAAAUACGGAGUACCUGAGGGCGAGGAGAGAGGUUGGAGCUGCAGAAAGCGAGGGUUUGGGGAGCGGUGGAGGGAAUUGGAGGUGAAAGGGGUUGCUGUGGGCGGUGGAGGUGGUGAGGUGGGGAUUGAAGAAGCCAGGGUUUGGAAAGAACUGGAAGGAAGGCUGUAAUGAUGAAGAAGCGCGGUGCAGAACUUGCUGUGAUUGCCGAGCAAUUGCCGUGCCAUGGCUACACCUGAAUUCCUUGCCAUUUUUCUCUCUCGCAUUGGUUCUUUAUGUAUCAAGCAAAACCCUAACUGUAAAUUCAAAAUCCAAAACCCUAAUUUAUAAAAUGCAAAAAAAUAUUCAACAAAUUGUCUUACCUUAAGAUUGGAGUGGCGAAGUGAGCACUUAGCAGCUAGUGGUGGAGGACGCGACUGGAAGGGGGAAAACGAUGGUGAUUGGCGACUUGGUGAGCGGUGACUGGUGAGAGGCCAUGCAAGAGAGCUUGGGGAGGUGGAAGGAGAGGACGACGCACCUGGUUUUUAGGGUUUCGUUCGGCUUCCGCUAUUCUGCGAGAGAGAGAGAGAGAGAGAGAGUGAGAGAGAGGGACGAGAGACCGACUGUUUUUCAAUUGCAAGGUUUGCACCUCCAUUUUGUCUAAAGUCAUUUACUUUGAGCGACACAGCCUGUGUGUCGCGCAAACGUUCUUUGCACGACACAGGUGCCCCUACGUCACGCAAAGCUAUUUUACGCGACGAAUGCACACCUUUGUCGCACAAGAUUUUGGAAAAAUUUAAACAAAGUGCAUAUUUUUUACAGUUAAACCGCCAAAAUUUUAACACAUUGCAUGACGCAUGCAUACAUUAAGACAUCGCACAAAGUUGGUUUAUGCAACGACCCAUCGUGACGUCGAGCAAGUUUUUUUUUUUUUUUAAAAUUAUUAUAACAUUUACUCAAAAUAUGACUUUACUCCCUUCAAAUUCAAUUUUUUACAUAAAACCCACAAUAAUAUGUUUUUCUAACAAAAACCUGAUCCGAACUACAAUAAUAAAAUUAAAGCUACUUAAUAAAUAUAUAUAUCAUUCAAUUUCUUAAGUGCUAUACGUACAAUAUAUAUAUAUACACACCAUUCAACUUGUGGGGAUACGCAUUCUACGAAACUAGUUUCAAUGAUCGAACCGUCAAACUUGUUUGCAUAUGCUUCGAGAUUGCAUACGCCAAAAAUCACAAAAUAUAAACAUUCAGAGAUCAAGUAACGAGACAUAACUUUUUCGACAGUUAUAAACGAAAAAUCACGAUUUAAUGAUAGUUUUAACUUCGAUUUUGAUGAUCUUUUAUAGCUACACUCUUUGAUCUUAUAUGAAUAUAUUGAAUGAAUUCGAUCUUUAAUUUAAAAUAUUUACACAAGUGGAUACCACAAAAUCUUAUGUUAUACUUAAUGAAAGUAUAAAUAAACUCUAAGUGUUGGUGAAUCUAUUGUUUUGUUGGGAUACGCAUUGUAUGAAACUAGUUUCAACGAUCCAACCAUCAAACUUCUUUGUAUAUACUUCGAGAUCGCAUACGCCAAAAAUUGAAAAAAACAAACAUUCAGAAAUCAAGUAAAGGGACAAAACUUUUCGAUGGUUAUAAACGAAAAAUCACAAUUUAACGGUAGUUUUAACUCUGAUUUUGAUGAUUUUUUAUAGCUACACUCCUUGAUCCUAUAUGAAUAGAAUGAACUAAUUCAAUCGUCAAUUUACAAUAUUUACACAAGUGGAUACAACAAAAUCUUAUGUUAUACUUAAUGAAAGUAUAAAUAAACUCCCAAGUAUUAGUGAAUCUAUUGUUUUGAUGGGAGAUGCAUUGUACAAAACUAGGUUUAAAGAUCCAACCAUCAAAUUUGUUUGUAUAUACUUCGAGAUCACAUACGCCAAAAAUCACAAAAAAAAACAAGCAUUCAGAGAUCAAGUAAUGAGACAAAACUUUUCGACGGUUAUAAACGAAAAAUCACGAUUUAACGGUAGUUUUAACUCCGAUUUUGAUGAUUUUUUUAUAGCUACACUCCUUGAUCCUAUAUGAAUACAAUGAACUGAUUCGAUUGUCAAUUUAAAAUAUUUACACAAGUGGAUACAACAAAAUCUUAUGUUAUACUUAAUGAAAGUAUAAAUAAACUUCAAGUGUUAGUAAAUUUAUUGUUUUGAUGGGAUACACAUUGUACGAUACCAGUUUCAACGAUCCAACUGUCAAACUUGUUUGUAUAUACUUCGAGAUCGCAUACGCCAAAAAUGGCAAAAAACAAACAUUCAGAGAUCAAGUAACGGGACAAAACUUUUCGACGGUUAUAAACGAAAAAUCACGAUUUAACGGUAGUUUUAACUCCUAUUUUGAUGAUUUUUUAUAGCUACACUCCUUGAUCCUAUAUGAAUACAAUGAAUGAAUUCGAUCUUCAAUUUAAAAUAUUUACACUAGUAGAUACCACAAAAUCUUAUGUUAUACUUAAUAAAAGUAUAAAAUAAACUCUAAGUGUUAGUGAAUCUAUCAUUUUAAUGGGUCUAAAUUUUGCAUUUGGUUAUUUCAUAAAGGAGGUAAAGAAACAAUCUUUUAUCGUACGUAUUAUGCAGCAUUUCACAUAAAAACUAGCAAGAGUCAAUAAAAGUCUAAAUGAACUCACCAAAGGAGUAGGUCCUAUGACAACCCUUCCUUGGUCAUUGUAUUGGGAUCCAUGGCAGGGGCAUAAGAACUUGUUCUCCGCCUUGUUAAAUGGCACGACACAACCAAUGUGAGUGCAGACGGCAUUGAUUCUGUAUGUGGCAAGAGUUUUAUCUUUCUCCACAACAAGCACAGCAAACAAAUCAAGUUAAUUUAGUACCUUUUAUUAAUAUAUUUCCCAAAUUUCUCUCUGUUAGCUUUGCACGACGCAACAAGCACAUCAAACAAUUCAAGUUAAUUUAGUACCUUCCAAUAAUAUAUUUAUUGAAACCGGUUUGUAUGGAUGUGUUGUAUAUAUGAGUUGUCAUCCUCACUUUAGCUAAGUCAUGGGCUAAAGUCACUUUCCAUAGCUUGUCAUUCACCUUACAUCAACCUUUCUUAGUUGCUUGUAAAAGUUUCUUUACUUGUAAUUUGGUUUUUACUUUUCCACUUGUUAAGGCAGAUUUUAGGGACUGUGUUUGUGUAAUUAUCCUACAAUCUAUUGUAGCUUUCUUUUGGCUCUCUAUAAGAGUUGUCUUCACUCUCUUGUAAUCUUCAUAAUGAAAUAUACCACAAAUAUUCAAACCAAAACUCAACAUGGUAUCAGAGCAGGAACCAUAGGGUCCUGACUCUGUUCAUUUUUUUUUACUUCUUCAUUUUCUCAUCAUCGAUAAAGAUAGCAGAAGAAAAUGUGUCUAGUGCAGACAGUGCCUUAUCAUCCUCUCCAAACUUAACCCAAGGGGUUAAGAACAAUCCAAAUCAACGACUCUGCUUGGUGCUCCUGAAUGAGUUCAACUACCUUCCUUGGUCAGUAGUUGUGUCACUUGCUCUAGGAGGAAGAUCGAAGCUAGGUUUUACCAACUUACGAUGCAUGGCAUGCUACUGAUCAGCUGGUCAUGUCCUGGUUACUUAACUCCAUGGAGCCAAAACUGUUUGAGUUUUUCAGCUACUCAAAGUCUUCCCUUCUCCUAUGGGAGUUUGUCAAAGACAUGUAUGGCAGCCAAAAUAACUCAGUUCGCAUCUUUCAACUGAAGAAGAAUAUGGCUAGUUUAAAGCAAGGUGAUCACUCAUUUGUUCAACACCUUGGAAGUAUGAAAUCCAUGUGAACUCGAUAUGUAUCAUUCACACACGACUGAUUACGAUGUGCUACUGAAGAGGGAUGAUGAAGACAAGGUGUUUCAACUCUUAGCAAGCUUGGGAGCAGAGUAUGAAGACAUGCGUAGUCACUUGUUAAUGACUCAAGAGCUGCCCUCCUUUACCAGUGUGUGUCAUGCAGUCCAGAGAGAGGAAACUCAACGAAGAGUGAUGAACGUUGAGCCCAAAUCCAACUCUGAAGCUAGGGUUUUCACGACAAAUCACAAAGUAACUGGUGAUAGGUUGCUUGGCAAGAAAGCAGACUGGAAAUGGUCUUAUUGCAACAUGAAGGGACAUUUGAGAGAAAAAUGUUGGAUUCUUCAUCCGGAGUUAAAGCCGAAGUUUGAUAGGAAAGGCAGGAUGAUCAAAGAUGAGAAGGGUGUAGACACUCCAAAAGCAUUUCAUUCAGCUUGUUCCUCAACUGAUGGGAUGGCCAAUUUCUCAACAAAUCAUGUGUCCUUGAUCAACCAGUUUGCUGCUAUUCUUCAAAAGAAGCAAGGAAACACUGAACCUGAUGAAAUGACACUUGAAAACCCUACUACAAUGCUAGGAAAAUUUGCUGGAUUCUUGGCUGACUUGGAGAACACAUCGAAAGGCAAUAUUCCAAGUAUUAUUAGUGCCAUUUCCACUGCUCUUAAUGCAAAUGUUACACAUGAUUUUUGGAUUAUUGAUUCUGGUGCCACUGAUCAUAUAACUAAUAACCCUUUAGUCUACACGAUUUUCAAAUAACUAUUGAUCCAAUUCAUGUAUCUAUUGCAAAUGGGAAAGGAGAACCUAUUCUAGGAAAAGGAAAGAUUAGAUUGCUAAGUGAGCAUACUGAUUCCACUGCUCUCUAUGUACUUUUCUUUCCUUUUCAACUUUUGUCAAUAGGAAAAAUCACAAAAACCUUAGUCUAUCUUGCCAUAUUUUCCCCUCACAAUGUUGUGUUUCAGGAUCGAGUUACUCAGAAGAAGAUUGGUGAAGGGUUCUUCUUGAAUGGACUCUACCAUCUCUCAAAUAAGUCCAAUUUUGUCAAAAAGCUCAAUGUCAUCUUAAGUCAAGUUCAGGAACAUCAACUCUGGCAUCAAUACCUUGCCCAUCCCUUAGAACAUGUGAUGAUCAAGUUGUUUCCCUUUUUUUGCAAAAACACAACUUGUCAAAUGUCAAUAGCCACUAGACUUCCUUUUGUUUCCUCUAAUUCUAGAACUAGUAAACAUUUUGAGCUUGUUCACUCUGAUAUUUGAGGUCCUUCUCAUGUAGAAUCCUUUGAUGGGUAUAUUUAUUAUGUUACAUUUAUUGAUGACUAUUCUAGAGUAACCUGGUUGUAUCUUUUAAAACUUAAAAGUGAUUUGUUUGAUGUUUUUAAGGACUUUCACAACCUAAUCACCAAUCAAUUUUCGUCUAAGUUAUAUAUGUUAAGAUCAGAUAAUGGUAUCGAGUACACUUCCAAUAACAUGAGUAAUUACUUGAGCAAUCAUGGCAUUUUGCAUCAAACUAGCUGUGUUGGUACACCACAACAAAAUUAUGUGGCAGAGAGAAAGAAUCGAGACUUAUUGGAGAAGACUCGAUCACUUAUAAUCCAAACGAAUGUUCCUAAGAAAUUUUAGUCUCAAGCCCUACUCACUGCCACGUACAACAUUAAUAGACUGCCAACUCAGGUGUUGAAUACUAAAUCUCCUUUCGAAGUCAUGAAAGGCAGUCCUAUAAACUUGUCUCACCUCAGGACGUUUGGUUGUACUUGUUAUGUGCACAUUCAAGCUCUCUAUCGUGACAAACUUGUGUUGGAAAUAUGCCCUGAAAGUCAAUCUUUGGAAGAAACCUUUCAGGACAAUGAAUGGAUGUAUAGAUGACUCUUAUACAUCAAAUGGCAAAGAUACUAAUUAGGACUAUCUCUAUAAACGAUAUAUGUCCUAAAUAGUGAAUCCAUGGACAAUAGAUCGAUUGAAGAAGUAAUCUAAUGAUGUUAGACUACAGAGACCUUCUUCACAUAACCAUCAUGUCCAAAAGGUUCCUGGUCAUAGGAUUGUUGGAGGGAUACUGACAAUGCAUAGACCGGUACAUACUAUGUCCGCUUCAAUUGGAAGGAUGGAAAGUCUCAUCCCAUUCGUGUAGUGACACUAAGACAAGUAUGUAGGUGCUCAUUAAGGGAAUGAGUUCACUGAACACAAUCGAACGAGAGUACUUGCAUGGAGGUCUACUCACAUGUCAGGCAAGUAACUCUAAUUGUUGGAAUAAUGUAAGUAGUCCUUUGACCUGAGGCAUCAUCGUUGUCUUGUGGUUAAGUACUUGAUCUUUGAUUAUGUCAAAGUCACUCCAUUCGCGGGUGUCCACGACAUAGUUAGGGUUAAGCCACUUAGUCAUGAAGGCAAGUGAAUGCGCAACAAGGAAUCUCUAAUCCUCAUUAAGAAAGGAAGAAUACUCUAAGAUAUGAUUCGGGAAUCUUCGGCCAAAGUAUCGAGCAUAAUAAAGGAAAGCGUUCCUAUACGACUCAAUUGAAUCAUAUAAGAAGGAAUAAUCACAUUAGGGGUUUGACAUAAUAUAUCCAUACCCUAGUGAUGUGAUUGAGAGUAUUGUUUUAGAGAAGGAUCGAAUUACAUUGUAAUUCCAACUGAAUAGGUUCUCCGAACAACUUCUACAUUAGCUUGGGUAGCCAUGAUAUAUCGUUAGAUGUCACUCAUGGCUUGUGAGUUCUUCUAGAUGAUUAAAUGUAAUCAUCAAAGAAGAAGGUGAAUUAAAAGUAGGCUUUAAUUCACUAAGUGAUUGGAUUAAAUAUAAUCAAUUGGAUUGGUUCCAAUCACCUUAAAAGUAGGUUUUAAUUCACUAAGUGAUUGGAUUAAAUAUAAUCAAUUGGAUUGGUGCCAAUCACCUCACUGCCUUGCUAAUUAAAACCUAAAACGAUUGUUCACCAAUACACUCUUGUAGUGAGUAAUUACUGGAUGAUGGAAAUAAUUAAUUAGAUUAAUUAAGUGUUGUGAUUAAUUAGAAAGUCUAAAGAAAUCAUAAAAGCGAUAUAAGAUCGUUUUGGGCUUAAAGAAACGUUCGGGUUUAAUUGGGCCCAUUGGGCCUAAACCCAUUGGGCUUUUAUUCAAGCAUUGGAUGACUUGAAAUAAAUAAAAGCCCAAAGCCCAAACAACACAAAGGGGGCCGGCCAAAGGAGGGAUAGAAAGGUCAAAUGUUGACUUGUUUCUUUUUGGCUAUAAAAGGAACUUUAUAGCAAAUGUUUCAUUAGGGUUUUUGGGUGUUCAAAACAACUAAAGAGAAAAAAGAAAAUAACUCUUUCUUCCACACCAAAGGCCGGCCACCAUAGGGAGAUUUUAGCUAAUCAUCUUUUUCUCCCUUUGGUUAUUCCUUUAUCCUUCUCAUUACACUAGUGGGUGAGGAUCUUUAGAGGUUUUCAAUUUUGGAAACUUGAAAAGAACCUAGGAGCACUCAUUCUAAACAAAGUGGAUGAGGCAAGGAAGGAGUGUCACGCCCCGGACCUGGGGUCGGUAGUAAAAAAACUCGAUCCCGAGUCCGAAACGCGAGUUAAAAGCUAAAUAAAUAAAAGGAAAUUGACACGGGUUGGAAAAUUAAACUCCUCUUAUAAAAACAAAUCCAGAAUUCUUUACAAAGCUAAAAAUAAAUAAAUACAAUUCUAGCCUCACAUCUAAUUCGAUCUCAUCCCGUCUACUCUUUUGACAGUUUAGUUAGUAAACCUGCAUAACAAUAGAGGGGUGAGCUUCAACAGCUCAGUAGGGACAUAACCUUAUCACAGUAAAUUGACAAUAUUAAAUUAAGUGUAAUAAAAUCAUGUAAUCAAGUACCAAAUCAUUAUCAUCAACAAUGCAUGAGUGCAAUACAAUACUCUUCAUCUCUACCCGUUAAUUCAUAUAAUAAAACACGCGGACCUGCACGUCCCAUACCGUGCAUUUUACCUCUGCAGUGGUGGUUCGAAUAUUUUAAUAUACAAAUUAACCCCAUGUAACUCAAUCAUCCCAAUUUCCCCUUUUGUUAGUCAUCUUGCCAAAACCCUUCGUCGCCAGUCCCGAAUUACCCUUAAAGAAUCUGUGCACUGUGGGCUCACCUGAGACCUGGUACCUGCUAAGAGUUUGGCUCAACUACACAAAAGAUUAUUUCCAACUACCCUCAUUUCCAGAAUUCCUUCCUCAACACCAAAACUCCUACCACAUGACCAAUUAUGAAUGAUUAACAUAUACCACAGUAUAUUCUCAACCAAUAGCAUUUCAUCAAUAAUUCCAUAACCAAUAACAAGUAAACACGCAGGGGCAUUAUUUAUCCAAUUAGCAAGCCAAAUCACAUUAAUCAACCAAGAAGAUCGAUAAUAAUAAUAUAAUGUUUCACGAAAUUUAAUAAAGUCAAUCUCCGUAAAGGUCCGCCGUAUUUCCCCUACCUGGAGUCCAAAGCAAACAAGCAGUGUCCCUUACCAACACCUUGAUUACACACAACCGUCGCGGUAACUGGAGUUCCUAAUCCAACAAUAAAAAUAUAUCACUAUAUAAUCCAUUAUAUAGCACCAAAUGUAAAAUCCUAUAUUUUGGAAUUCCCAAGUUAGGCUUAGCAUCUCUUAUUCCAAUUUGGAUCUUCAGAUUUAUAUAAUUUCACUUAAGUACUCAAAUCUUUAAAAAUAAGCUUCCUGUCCCUAACCUGUACAGCAAGUACAAUCUGUCCGAAAAAAGUUCCCAGAAUUAUAGUUUACCCCAAACUUUCGGGUAAUUACAAAACUGUCCUAAAUGUUCAGAGAACUGUAAAAUGGCCCCAAAUCUGAAACUCAUCUUUCAAGUUGGUCCCUACUGCAGAAACAGAAACAGUACAGCCGACCAUGUUUCCAAAUUCAUGUUGCUCCUCUUUCAGUCCAAAAUAUUUCCAACUUCAAUUCAAAUACUCAUAUUUAUACGAUUCAAUUACUUCAAAGUAGGCCAUCAUUCCUUUUAAUUUAGUCGAAUAAUAUCAAUACCCCAAAUCCACAAACUUGAACAUGGAUGGGGUUUAACAGCAACUAACCCAUAGGCAAAUUUAUCUCAAUUCAUUCAAUUAAGCUUCCAAUACGCUUAAGCCAUCACGAAUAACACAUGAAUUCGAAAUAUUACGCUGUGUAGUAAUAAAUCCAAAAAUGGCAACUUCCAAAAUCUGUAGUAAAUCCAUAAAUUAGUACCUGAGAUUUGUAGUACUCUUCCCCAUAAAUUCGUAAGCGAAAACGGAAUCAAAUCCGGACUUCCAAAUCAAAAUUUAUGAGGAAAACGGUAUUUGAUUUGGACAAUGAGAUGAAGCUCCUUGCUUCCUUCCUCUCUGCAUCUUUCUGCGAAGAGAAGAAGAAAUAUGAAGCCUUAGUUCCAUCUGAAAUGAUCCACCGCUUCUUCUCCUUUUAUUUAUCUCUUUUGGUGCAAUGGUAGCUUUCCAAGUGGCAACACAAAGACUUAUGAUUUCUCUUUAAUUUAUCAUAUUUGACAUGUGCCAUCAUAUGAUGAUAACACCACCAGCAUGUCAUCCAAAUGCUGGCUUCUCCAGCAGCUAGCACUUGGCAAUCUUGCCACUCGUUGGCUGUCAUGUGGUGUUCUAACAUUUGUCAGGCUUGGACAUUCUAUCAAAAUUUCAUUAAAGUCCCGAAAACUAAUCCGAAAAAUGAUACGAACUCGAAAUAACGUUUACUACCUUCAUAUGAAAACCUUUUUGAUAAAUAAGCACAACAUAUUUUUUUUUUUCCAAAUAUUUCUCUUUUUUAAUAAUAAAUUAUUGGGAUAUUACAAGGAGGCUAGGCUCAAGGAGUUCAAGGAGCAAAGGGCUUGGAGGUGGUCCAUCCUUGGUCUAAGAUCUAGAUCAAGAGGUAUAAAACUACUCCUAAACUUUGUUCUUAUAUAAGUUUGGUUUUGAUGCAUCUUACAUAAACCUAUGCAUCUUGAAGGGGAUUUGCAUGACUAUUGCUUUGAUAUUAUUUGAUAACAUGCUUCCGUUGCUUUCGUAUAUAAAUUUUGAAUUGUAUAUGCAUGCUAGUCAUUAGAAAUUCCGCAUGAAUCUCAUAGAAUUCCUUUCAACUUGACCCUCGAGCUGUCAAAUGUAUGUUUAUGGGAUACGCCAGUUCUUAAAAGGGUUAUAAAGUGUACAACCCUAACAUGGGGAAACUGGCAGUCUUUAGAGAUGUGCGAUUUGAUGAAUAUUCACCUUAUUUCCACAAAGGGUUGGAGACUAAUGCUAAUAUGGAAGAUCUUAUGGACCUAUUUCCACUACCUAUUCCAGCAGAAAUUCAUGAAGCCACUCAUUCUCAUAUCAUCACUGAGAAUUCUCAACUCACUGAGAGUGUAAUUAAUGCAGUGCCAAGCUCCUCUGGACCAUCAGAAGCUCAACCAAAUCAGCAAGCUAUAAGUGCACCUAGAAGAAACCCUACACGAGAUAGACAUCAACCAGUGAGGUUACAAGAGUAUGUUACUUACACUGCAAGGCAUCCUAUCUCUGCAGCCAUUUCUUAUCAUAGAUUCUCAUCUUCCCAUACUUCUUUCCUUAACAAAUUGUCCUAUACUUUCGAACCAAGGAAUUUUCAUGAACCCACAUGCAUGCCUGAGUGGCAAGAUGCUAUGACUAAAAAGCUUUAAGCUCUGAAUGACAACUAAACAUGGAGUGUGGUGGACCUUCCAAAUGGCAAGAAGUUCGUGGGAAAUAGGUGGAUAUAUAAGACCAAAUUCAACUCUAAUGGAAGCAUUGAAAAACACAAGGCACGAUUAGUAGUUCAAGGCUUUACUCAAACCUAUGGGAUUGACUAUAAGGAGACCAUUGCUCCUGUUGCCAAAAUGAACACAGUGAGGGUAUUGUUGUAUGUGGCAGUCAAUAAUGCAUGACCUUUAUUCCAAAUGGAUGUGAAGAAUGCAUUUCUUCAUGGGGAUCUUGAAGAAGAAGUGUACAUGAAGUUGCCUUCUGGUCAUCCAAGAGCAAAGGAACCCAACAAGGUCUAUAGACUUCAUAAAGCCAUAUAUGGUCUCAAACAGUCCCCUUGAGCUUGGUAUUCGAAGCUUAGUUCAGUCCUUGAAGCUGUAAGGUUCAAAAUGAGUCAUGCUAACUCUUCUUUGUUUGUUCGAAGUGGUAUUGCUGGCAAAUUGGUUGUGCUUAUAUAUGUUGAUGACCUAAUUAUUACAGGUGACAAUAUAAGUGAAAUCAAGGCGCUUAAGCAGCCACUUCACCAAAAAUUUGCCAUUAAAGACUUGGGGCCCUUGAAAUACUUUCUUGGAAUUGAGGUACAACCUUUUCAAAGGGAUUGUUCUUGAAUCAAAGAAAGUAUGUUCUCGAUCUUCUAGAUGAAGCUAACAUGAUGGAAUGUAAACCAGCUUGAACACCUCUAGCUAGCAAACUUUAGUGGCAUGAAAAAGGUGAACCUCUCUCGGACCCUAGUGUUUAUCAGCGAAUGGUUGGGAAACUUAUUUAUCUCAUCAUUACUAGGCCUGAUAUCUCAUAUUCAGUUAGCCUAGCCAGUCAGUUCAUGCACUCUCUUACUUUAGUUCACUGGGAAAUCGUCAAGAGAAUACUUCGAUAUCUCAAAGGCUCAGUAGGAAGGGGAUAAUUAUGAAGAACAAUGGAUCAACUCACAUCUUGGCCUACACAAAUGCUGACUGGGCUGGAAAUGCCCUUGAUCGAAAUCCAUAACAGGUUUUUGCACAUUUGUUGGAGGGAACCUUGUCACUUGGAAGAGCAAGAAAUAAACUAUUAUUGCUCGAUCUAGUGCCGAAGCUGAGUAUAGGGCUAUGACAGCAACAGCCUGUGAACUCAUAUGGUUGAAAGGUCUUCUUUCCGAGCUCGGAUUCACAAGCAUGACACCUAUGUCCUUGUAUUGUGAUAACCAAGCUGCCAUGCACAUUGCCUCCAAUCUAGUAUUCCAUGAAAUGACCAAACAUAUUGGAGUUGACUGCCAUUGUAUUCGUGCUCAAGUUCAAUCCAAGGUGAUAGACACCAUGUUCACACGCAGCCACGAUCAACUUGCUGAUUUAUUCACAAAAGCACUAGACUCUACUCAGUUUCAGCGUUUGUUGUGCAAGCUUUGAUCAAUCAAUCCCCUUGAUCCAGCUUGAGGGGGUGUAUUGAAACCGGUUUGUAUGGAUGGGUUAUAUGUAUAAGUUGUCAUCCUCACUUUAGCUAAGUCAUGGGCUAAAGUCACUUUCCAUAGCUUGUCAUUCACCAGUCACUUUCCAUAGCUUGUCAUUCACCUUACAUCAACCUUUCUUAGUUGCUUGUAAAAGCUUCUUUACUUGUAAUUUGGUUUUUGCUUUUCCACUUGUUAGGGCAUAUUUUAGGGAUUAUUUUUAUGUAAUUAUCCUACAAUCUAUUGUAGCUUUCUUUUGGCUCUAUAAGAGUAAGAGUUGCCUUCACUCUCUUGUAAUCUUCAUAAUGAAAUAUACAACAAAUAUUGAAACCAAAACUCAACAAUAUUUCCCAAAUUUCUCUCCGUUAGCUUUGCGCGACGCCACCUCCGUCGCACAAAACUAUUUUGCACAAUAGAGGGGUACCUACGUCGUGCAAAGUUGAGAAAAAAGUGGUAAGGUAUUCUUGCUUUGGCGUCAAAAUCUUGCACGACACACAAGAGGUGUCACGCAAACGGCGUUUACGCAAAGGCCGUUUGUACGACGUUUUGUGUUUAGCGUUGCGCAAACAUACUUUGCGCGACGAAAUUUGCUCCAUCGCGUAAACAUGUUUUUGUUCUAGUGGAGAAACACUUCAAAACAAACUGUGGACAUGAAAACUUUAAAUGUCAAAUGCUGCCACGAUAAUAACACUUGGAACUAGGUUUUUUUUGUUUUCCUUUAAAAUGUUGCUUUAAAUAUAAUUUUCUUUUCCAUGUCUAUUUAGAGAAGAUGAUGAAAGAAUUUCAUUCAUAUAUACGGAAACUCAAACGUUAGGAAAUUAGACCAUAAAGUAUUUGUGUAAUUUCCAUGUUUGGUUUACAGUAAUGAGAAUACAAAACUUGUUCACUUACUUUUAUUAGGGUAAAUUGGACAAAAACAAUGCAUAAAAGUUUUCCCAACGUAAGUAAGGAAAAUGUAUGAAAUUCCCUCUGCAUGUGAAGUUCAUACUCAUUUGACAAGUAUCACAUUCCCAACAAUAUGUUUACAAAACAUCGGAAUGGUAUCUCAUACUCCUUACCAUAAUCCGAAUUUACAAAUCGCAAAUCAAACGAUAGUUUAAGUAUUUUUUUUUUCUAUAAAAUGGAGCUCUCGGAACUUAUUUGUGAAAAGCCGUCCCAUACUUAAUCGAAUACUAAUCAAGUAGUACCAAUUACAUGUUUUUUUUUUCUUUCAUUGAAGGGAAUCGAUACUCAUUAUAUUGCAAGCUCACUUUCUUUCACUAUUUACUAUAAGUCUGUAACCCAAGGGUUUUUGUUCUAGAUAUUACAUGCAUGUUCAAACGACUGCUAGAUUUCAAUGUUAACAUCAGACAGUCUAUUGGAUUACCAAACACAUGCAUUAAUAUCUUUGAAAUGAGAGGUUUUACAGGUUAAAGUUCAGCAUCCACACAGAUCAGAUAAUUAAUGAUGUUGGUUCGAUCAGGUAGUAUUGGAUCUUAGGUUUUUUCUCUCGUUUGGUCCCGAAAAGGAAAACAAAAACCUUUUUCACACAAAUACCAGAAUUCUAUAGUCUCUAGGAAAAUCAUAGCUGGAGCACUCUCAUCAUAUAUGAAUAUCGCAGAUGUGAUACAUAAGCCCCUACGUACUCUCAAAGAUAGGAAUAUAUAUAUAAAUUUUUAUUAUAACCCAUUAUUUCCGUUUUGUCACCUUGUCGCAAAAUUUGUCACGUUUUGUUGGCAUUGCAUAUGUUCUCACAAAUGUGAUACGACCGCCAAUUAAAGUCAAUGUAGUGCGUAUAUGUUUUUGUUUUAUUUGGCUGAAAAUUAUGCAUAUUGAUAUAGAGAAUUGUUAUUAGCAUGCAGUUAACCGAAUUAAUCUGCAUAUAUUUAAUUUUAUUUUCUUAAUUAUAAUUAAUACGUGUAACAAUAUAAAUUGUUAGUUAUUUACAAGUUAUCGUGUUUCCACCACAUGAAAACAAAACCUGAUUAGUUUAAGUGUCCCUUUGGAGAACAAUUGAGGGGUACCAUUUGGAGAAGGCAGCAAUUACUACUUUGGUGCUCUCCUUGGGCUGCCUCAUUUGUACUUUUUUUUUAGCAAUCACUCAUAUUAGUACUAUGUUAUGUAGCUUUUGGGGAAGAAAUGAUGCAGCCCAAGGAGAGCACCAAAGUAGUAAUUGCUGACCCAAACCACAUGAAAUGAAGCCAUACCAACUCAUAUUAGUACUAUGUUAUGUAGCUUAUGGCUUCACACAAACCGAGAACUGACCCAAACCAACUCGCCACUGUUGAUUAACCGACUUGAUUGGUUUUAAACCCAACUUGAUCGGUUUCGGUUUGCAAUUUUGACACAACCGACUAGGUCAGUUUGGUUUUGGUUUUAGCCCAAAACCGACCCAAACUAACCCACACCCACCCCUAGGCCAAACUUAUGAAUUUCCCAUCACAUACUUGAAGAAAAGAGGCAUCCAUAGUUUGGUUAUUCUCCAUUUGUGUAUUAAUAUAAUCAAAGUCUUACCAUUCUCUUGUUUUGUAAAAACCUCAUUAUUAAAAAAUUAGACACAUGUACAACAGGGCCGGCCCUGGCCCAGGGCUAGCAGGGCAACCGUCCGGGGCCUUAAAAACUUGAGGGGCACCAAAAAUUGAUAGGGUAGUAUAUUCAUAUAUAUAUAUAUAUAUUUCCAUAAGCAUAUAAAUUUUGAAACCUUGGUUAAAUCUACAAGUACCUAAGGCAGAAGCGGUGGUGUUUCACUGCUUACUUAACAAGACGGUCGUGUUCGAAACCCGAUGUGUUCAUUUGUUUUCCAAUUUUUUACGAUAUUCUGUUUGGGAUCAAUGCAAGGCACCUUAUGCUUUUCCUUUCAUGCCUUUCCCCUCACUAUUUAACAUCGGGAUGUAAUUUGUACAACAAACUAAAUAGUUAACUUAAUGCUAAGAACUCAUUAAAAUACAAAUAAUUAAUAAAACAAUAAAAUAGAAAUAUGGUGCCCAACACCUAUUAAUGUUCUUCCUCAACCCUUUUGUUGUCUCUUUUAACUUUCCUGGGCAGCGGCUAUAAGCCAUGCCUCUCAAUUUCUCUUAUUUUAUUUAUAAAGAAAUAUAAUUAUAAACAUGAAAAUUUCCUGAAAUGAAGGAGACAAGAACACGUGUACAAAAUAAUAUUUUGUAUUUGAUGAUUUUGGGUUACAAUCUCUCUCAAAUAUGAUCAUCUGAUUCGAUCUCCGUAAGGUGUGUAUUUGUGGAUGUGCAUUGAUCCAGGGGCCAUCGAGGCUUGAUCUUGGAUGAACGGUUGAAAGUUUCUUCAAGGGCCGUUGAGGCUUGAUCUUGAAUGACAGUGAUGAACGGAUCUUCAAGGGCGUUUGAGGCUUGAUCUUGAUGAACAGUUGAUGGAUGGAUCUUCAAGGGCUUUUGGGCUUGAUCUUGAAUAAUGGUGAUGAACGGACCUUCAAGGGCUUUUGGGUUUUGAUCUUGAAGGACGGUUAGAUGUGUGGAUUUGUCGACGUUGUUGAUCCAAAGAGCCGUUGGGGCUUGAUCUUAGGAUGAACAGAUGAUGAACGAUGAACACUUUCUUCAAGGGCCGUCAGGGCUUGAUCUUGAAUUGGUGGAAGUUCUUCAAAGGGACGUUGGGGCUUGAUCUUGAAGGUUGGGUUGACGAAGAACGAAGAGAGCUUUCUUGAUCCUUCGGGAUUUGCUUGGGAGCUUUGGAGUUUCAAAGUUUCAAGGUUUUGGUGUGAGGUGAAUUGGUUAUGAAUUCGUUCUUUUUCUCCCUUCAAAUGAAUGAAUUAGCCUUCUAUUUAUAGAAAUUUCCAAGGCCUAAUUUUGAAUAUAAUAUUCCAGAUGAAAUAAGUCGUUUCUGCCAGGUGUUGACAUGUGUCCUAUUUGAUGACUUUUCCGACUCUUUUCGAUUUUUCGUUUAGUCACACGCUACGUGUAAAAUUUAUGUGACACGUGAGCGUUGAAAUUGUAACUAUUGGUCAACAUUUAUUUCACCGAAAUUUCGAUGUCUACAAAUGCCCCCACUUCAAGGCGUGUCGUAUACAUGUGCUUGUCGCGUGUAGGAGAUGCGUUUUGAAGUCCCUUAAUGUAGAUGUCGACCCAAGGGCCAUCGAGGCUUGAUCUUGAAUUGGGCUGGAGAUUUCUUCAAGGGCCGUUAAGGCUUAAUCUUAAAUUGGGCUUGAGAUUUCUUCAAGGGCUGUUGAGGCUUGAUCUUGAAGGUUGAAAUUGGACCACAAGGAACUUCAUGUGGUAGAUGAUCUUUGGCUUUUAGUGGAUGAAUUGGCACGUAUUUGUUUUUGUGCUUGUUGACUUUCCACAACUUUGAUCUUGAACUGGGUUGCAAGAUUUUCUGGAUUCCUCCAAUUGUUGACUUUCCACAGCUUAUUCUUGAACUAGAUUUGAUUCAAUGGUGGUGGACGCUUGAUCUUGAAUUAGACUUGUGAUUUCCUUAAGGGCCGUCGAGGCUUGAUCUUGAAUUUAGCUGGAGAUUUCUUCAAGGGCCGUUGAGGCUUGAUUCUUGACGGUUGACUCGAACACAUGGCAAGCAGGCACGAGGUGAAGGUGACGACUUGUUGCUUUGUUUAAUCUUUCUAAUUCACACCUGAGCAGUUUGGUCAACGGUAUGAUCUUCAAGAUUGAUGGGCUCUUCUUCCAGUUGGUGACUUGAUCUUUAAGGAUUUGAUUCAAGGGUGGUGAAUCGGCACGUGCAGCCCACAACGCCUAGCGAGUCGACCCAAGAAUUUGAGGGUCAAAACGAGUCCUCCACCCAGAGUGAUUGCAACCCUGAUGAUAUGAGAUACUUUUGAUUUUGAAGAAGUAGCGGAUGAAUCGGCACGUGCUUUGUUGUGCUUGUCUCCACAUGCUUCAAUGUAUCAUUUUCCCUUGCCUUAUCUAUUCUUCUGGCAGAAUGUGGCAUCUUUUCGAGUUCCUCAGCUCAGACUCAUUCUGCUGAGUUGACUGUGCAGGCUGCAUUCUUCUCUGCUUGUUUCUUCUGCACGUUGUCUCCACAUGUUGCAAGGUAUCAUUUUCACUUGCCUUAUCUGUUCUCCAGGCAGAUGUGGCAGCUUCUUUGGAAGUACAACAACAGUGGAAGACGAGUACUCGAGCAAAACCAUGUAAGCAACCAGACAAAGGUUCCAGGUAGUCGGCAACCAUUGAGUGAUUGAUUAAUAUGGCUUCACAUGCUCUUUUUUUUCAUCAGAAAUCUUCGACAAUUUGUCUGUAAUUUUUGCCAAGCUGAGUGUGCAUGUGACAGGUGUUGACGAGGCUGAAAAAGAUUGGCGCCUCUUCGAUAUCUGGGAUCGACGCUUCGACAAACUGCCCGUGAUUUCCGCAAAGCUGAGUGUGCAUGUGACAGAUACUGACACGUCUGGAAAAGCAGAUGCCUUUCCGAUUUCUGAGCUUACCUCUUCAAGUUCUAAGCUCCGUCGAGUGCAGAGGUUGCAUGUGACAAGUGCGGACAAAUCUGGAAAUGAAGAUUAGCCCGUGGUUUCUGAGCAAGCCCAGCUUUUGAGAAAGCUAGCACCUCUUCGAUUUUUGAAUUGGCCUCUUCGAAUUCUGAGCUUGCCUUUUCGAACUCUGAAAUCCCGUCGAGUGCUGAUUUUUAUAGAGGCACGCAGUUCGUUUCAAGCACACUUGAAUUUUCGCUUAUAGAAACUCCCUUCUUGCACUUCUAAGAUCUUGAUUUGUCCGACCUCUUCUUUCUUCAACACCUUUGAAAAUGUCUGGCCCUUCUGACCGUCGUUUUGACUUGAACCUUGGUGAAGAGGCAGUCCCACCUUCUCUAGACAACAUAUGGCGCCUAUCCUUCAUAUCCCCUACUGGUCCUCUUACCGUUGGGGAUUCGGUGAUGAAGAAUGAUAUGACCGCUGCAGUGGUGGCCCGGAACCUUGUCACUCCCAAAGAUAACAGACUGUUUUCCAAACGGUGUGAUGUGUUGACUGUUAAGGAUUAUCUGGCUCUCAGUGUGCAGUGUGCAGGUUCUGUGUCUAAUAUGGCCCAACGUCUAUUUGCUCGAACCUGUCAAGUUGAAUCAUUGAAGGCUGAAGUGAUGAGUCUCAAACAAGAGAUUAGAGGGCUCAAGCAUGAGAAUAAACAGUUGCACAGGCUCGCACAUAACUAUGCUACAAACAUGAAGAUGAAGAUGGACCAGAUGCAGGAAUCUGAUGGUCAGAUUUUACUUGAUCAUCAGAGGUUUAUGGGUUUGUUCCAACAGCAUUUGCCUUCGUCUUCUAGGGCUGUACCGCGUAAUGAAGCUCCAAAUGAUCAACCUUCGGUGCCUCCUCCUCCUGGGGUUCUGCCUAGUAUUGAGGCUCUAAAUAAUCACCCUCUGGUGCCUCCACCUUCUGGAGCUCCGCCGAGUACUGAGACGCCACCUGAGCAAUGAAGACUCUCUCCCGUUUAUUUGCACAUUGUUUUUGUAAUUUUUAUUUUAUUUUAUUUUAUUUCAUGUAAAUGUACGUUUCUGUAAAUUUUUUUUAGAGAAAUCAAUAAAUGAGCUUUGUUUCACUCAGUGUACAUUUUUUUUUCACAUGGUGUCAAAAGCACCAAAGGACUCUAUUUUUUUUCACAUGGUGUCGUCCACCAUCAUUUUUUUAUUAUUUUUUAUUUUUUAUUUUUUUUUGCUUUCAGUGGUGCUCACAGCCACCACCAUCAUGAACCUUUCAACUUUAUUUUAUUUUAUAUUAUUAUAUAUAUAUAUUUUUUUUCUUUUCCGUCUGCUUUUGGUGCCAGAUGCACCAUGUCUCCUCUUUUCCAUUUUUUAUAUUAUAAUUUUUCCAUGCACACAUACAUACAUACGUACAUACAUAUAUACAUAUAUAUAUAUAUAUAUAUAUAUAUAUAUAGGGUGCAGGAUAGGAGCUUGGAGGAGGAAGAAGGUGGAGCACGGAGGAGGAGGAAGAUGACUUGCUUGCUGCCUGCAGCAGGUCCCAGAUGGACAGCGGCGACUGAGUGUUUGGGCUUCCGUGGCUCAAGCUCUGUCCACAACCCCAACCACUGCGUAGAGUGUUGACUGGGGAGAACCAGAAGCGACCCAAUCCUUUGGCUUCUCGAAGGCGAGCUGGGAGAGGUAUAACGACUAUGGUAAAGGAAGAUUGAGUACUGCGGCUGACGUCCUGGAGAAGCGUGGGUGAUUCGAGCAUCAAGCCCAACUCGAAAACCGACAGCGGGGAGCAAAAACGAAGGUGAAGCAGCAGCCUAUUCAUCCCUUUACCACGGGAGAUCAAACUCUGAGCCACCUCAAACAAUCCCUUACUGGCAGCAUAAUGAAGGGCAGGUCAACCGCCGUCCGUCUUCAUUCGUGCUGUUUAUCACACUUGUUAAUUCAUCAGCAUCAAACAUCAGCUUCACUACCUCGGAGCGACCUGAAGAGACAGCAACGCAGAGGAGAGAGAGAAGGCGGAAGGGUAGAGAUAUCUGACUGAUCCCCGGAGAGCCUGAGCUUUUUCCUGCACGCCUCACCAUCUUCCACUUAUUUUUUGCUUCUUUUGCUGUUGACGUUUAGAUUCAUUACUUCUCUUCUUAUCAGCUUUGGAUCGCUUUAAUUGAUGAACCCUUUUCUGUAGUGGAUCAAAGGGGUAGUUAGCCUCAAGCUUGAACUCUUGAACGCACCUUAUUACGGCUUUCAGUGCAGCAAGCUCUUUUGCAUUAACAUCAUCAUGUGCACCAGUACCAUCUCGUGUGCUGUCUCAAGGUUGCGGAAAUGCUCUUCAAUUUCUUUCCACCGAACCCGGUCCUCAGAAGUAUCAUUGGGUGCAUUUAGUUCCUAGUAAUGCGUCACCAAGCUGAUCGAUUAGAGAGCUUGGUGCAUCACUUUCCAGAACUUGUUUCACAUCAACCAUGGUUAAUGCAAAUCUACACCUGAGAAUGAUUCACACAGAGUGCCUAAACAGGUCUGAGACGGAGAGGAAGCGAGCUCACAGGUUGCGACUCUUGGAAUUGCAAGUGGAAUUUGAUCGAACGCUUGGCGUGCAUAGUCAAGGUUGAAGAAGGAGGUCCACUUACUCCGGGUGUGUGCACUAUGUGUAGUAGGUGGGGUUUGGGUGGAGUGAGGAGGCUGAACGAUUUGCAAAGCUCCAACGUCAUGUAGAGAUCGUCACUGCCGGUGUUGAAGGCACCUGGGAAGAUGCCGCGACUUUCUUCGUCCACUUGGGGCUUUUAAACAGCGCCAUAUCGAUUGGAAUAGAGGACGUAGUUGGUAGCGUCUGGAGGGAAAUGACCGAUGACAGCGUCUCUGGAUAUCAUCGAUGCUCAAAAACCGACCAGAAUUACUAGAUGUGCACCGAGUCAGGAUCCGAAGAACCUUCCUCUUCGGCUUGUACUAGCAGCUUUUGGAAGAUGGGCCAGGGCCUGAUUUGGACAAUAGGCUUGGGCCUGGUCAUUGCCACUUGGGUUUGGACGACCUCCUUCUAAUGGGCUGGCUGGAUAGAUGACAUAUAUAUAUAUUAUUUCUUUUUCCUUUCUUUUCUUUUUCCUUUCUUUUGUUUUUGUUUUUUUGUUUUUUUGUUUUUUUUUGUUUUUUUUUGUUUUUUUUUGUUUUUUUGUUUUUUUUGUUUUUUUUUGUUUUUUUUGUUUUUUUUUGUUUUUUUUUUUUGUAAAUACAUAAUAACAUAUGUAUUUAUUUAUUUUUUUGUAAUAAAAUUGACUUUCUUUAAUAAAACAUUUAUUUUUUAUUUUGAUAUGACUGAACUCGAAAUUAAAUGUUCAAGCCGCCUACGUACCCUUCCAAAGAAGAGAUCAAGUCAUAACGUAGUUCAAAUACUUUUUUUUUUGUGCCGUACGCAGUUUCAACUCGUGCAGGCAAGGAGCUUUUGGUGCCGUUUGCAGUUUCAACUCGUGCAGGCAAGGAGCGUUUGUUGGUUCGUCAAGCGAUCUGGGAGAGUCUUUCCUCCCAAUCUUCAUAGCAAAGAGCCUUGACUGAGUAGUUGAAGAUGUCUUCUGGGAAGAUGUCAUGCAUCGUGAUGGGGAUGGAUGAUCUUCGUGUCAAAGUUUCAUUAUCUCCAACACUUUCACAUUGUUCUGAAGGUUGACAGGAGCUGCUUUGCCCCCUUUCCCAUUGGUGAACUUGUGGAAUAUAUGGUUGCUGCCUGAAGAGGCGUUCCUCGCAAUCUUUAUAGCAAGGAGCCUUGACUGAGUAGCUGAAUAAUUUUCUGAGGAAGGAGAGAUCGCGCAUGGUCGAUCUUUGUGUCGAAAUUUCCUCAUCUUCAACACUUUCACAUUGCUUUGGAGGUUGCGAAAGUUGCUUUGCCCUCUUUCCGAUGGAUGAACUUGUGGAAAAGUCAUAUGCUUCUUGUGCAGUUUCUUCGGAGUGACAUGAGUCCAUCCUUCAACUUCACUUGGCUUGACUGGCAUGGUUUUGGAACAUGCCCCCAGCGAUUGAGGUGAAGAUUUUGAGUUGACAAAGCCGGAAGUGACGUUUUCUAUCCCGUCUUCUUUGUCUUCUUGGGCCUCCUUUUCAGUGUGGUCCUCUUGGGUUUGUUGGCGUGAAGAUUGGCCGGUGUAGAUGAUGGUGCACCUCCUUACCUUCAGUGGUCCUUUUGUGUCGACCUCCAAAGCUGCUUGGCGCUUCAUCCUUGAAGGAAUCAAGCUUUGAACAUCGUCUUUUCCUGCUAGAAUGUCGAGCUUUUCUUCCUUUGGUGUUGUCUUCCUGUUUCUAGAAGGCUUCUUAGUUUCUUCAAGUAUGUCCGCAGCCGACCGUUGCGGAGGAGAUCUAGCUAUGCCGCUUUGUUUCUUGGGUUUUGAUAACCUUUCAAAGACAGAUCUUUGCAAUGUUGGCAUCCUAAGCCUUUUGAAGAUGGAAGUUCGGUCUCGACCACUGAUGCGAUCAAGUGUCGAAAUUCUAGGUUUUGAAUGAUUCAGCCUGUUGAAGACUGAAGUUCGAGGGGCGGGUUUAGGUUCUUCUUUUGGCCUUGUGGCUUGUGGUCUUGGCUUCCUUGUUUUUUUGUAAGUCGCUGAUGUCCACCAUUCCUUAUCACCAGUAAAUGCAUCUUGGUUGCUUGCCCCCGGUGAUGGUUGUGUAGGAGGUGCCGUGUGACUUGAACAUUGACAGGAAUGGUCAUGUAUGCUUCGGAGAUGCACAAGAUCGAGUGAUCCAAACACGAUAGUAGUAGUGUGUGCCGCAUCGAGUGAUCCAAACACGAUAGUAGUAGUGUGUGCCGCAACUGUGUCUUCGAGGUCAAGCUCGAUUUUCCUUUGUUAUGCUAGCUUCAGGAUGAGAUCUUUCAGUACAAAACACUUUUCCGUUAGAUGACUGAUGAAACGGUGGAAUUUAUAGUACCUUGGACUAUCAGUAAGAUUCAUCUCUUCCGGCCGUCUGCACUCAGGUAGGUCGAUCACCUUUUUGUCAAACAAGUCUUUCAACAUGGCAACCACAUUAGAGUCGAGGAAUGGAUAAGUUUUCUCCUCGAGCUCCUUCAAAGUACGUAUAUGCAUCUCUUUCAACAUGGCUGAACUGCCGUUUGAAUCGGCAUCGGAAAGCAUGGAUUCGGAGUAUUUCCUUGGGCUUUCCCCCCUUGGUGCCCUUAGUGAGGCUAAGGUGAUCACAGGCUCGUGCUUUGGGUGCUCUUGUUCCCUUGGCAGAGUUGAUGCAGAGGUGAAAGAGGCGGCAGAAGCAGCUCUUGCAUUGCUUCGAGUCGUGAUGCGCAAAGUGACACCACUUGAGACGAGGACGCUCUUGUUAUUUGCGCCGAUUGCGGGAACAGUUUGAGCCUUCCUUGAUGCCAUUGAUUUUGGAAGUGUGCUUGAAUUUCUUGAACGGAGAAAGAGAUGAGAGGUAGAGAUGAUCCCACCGGGCGUGCCAAAUUUUUAAACACGAAAAUUUCUUGAAACGAAGGAGACAAGAACACGUGUACAAAAUAAUAUUUUGUAUUUGAUGAUUUUGGGUUACAAUCUCUUUCAAAUUUGAUCAUCUGAUUCGAUCUUCGUAAGGUGUGUAUUUGUGGAUGUGCGAUUGAUCCAAGGGCCGUCGAGGCUUGAUCUUGGAUGAACGGUUGAAAGUUUCUUCUGUUGGAAAUGUGCCCUAAAACCAAUCAUAUGAUGAUACUUUACGGACAUUUCACAUGUUAAACUAAUCUAGUUUAAUAUCAAGGGCAAAGAUUAUUGUUUGAGCCGUCUCAUAUAAAUGUUAUACGCUUAAACGAUAAGUCCAAGGAAUAUGUGAUUGGGAGAAUGCGAUCUAAAGAAGUUAGAUUCAUGAGACCAUUCUUUCGUAGACACAUCCUAAACGUUCCUGAUCAUAGGAUUGCCAAUUGGGCAUUGACAGUCCGUUAAGAUCAGUACGUGUUGUGUCUUCUCUUAGGGAUAGUGACUAGUCUCGAGUCAUUGGUGUGUGUGACAUCAAGACAAGCAUGUAGGUACUCAAUAAUGAAUGAGUCCACUGAACACGAUCAACGAGGAGUUCUCAUACUCAUGUCACAUGAGAACUCAUAGUUGGGAUAAUGCAAAGUAGUCAUUUGACCUGAGGCAUCAUAGUUGUCUUGUGGUUAAGUCCUUGAUCUUUGAUUAUGUCAAAGUCACUCCAUCAUGAGGGUGUCCACGGCAUCGUCGGGGUUAAGCCACUUAGCCAUGGAGGCAAGUGAAUGUGCAACAAGGGAUCUCUAACCUUCAAACCGUUUGGGGGAGAAUACUCUAUGAUAUGAUUAAGAAUCUCUAGCCAGAGUAUGAAUGAGAUUUAGGAAGUCGUUCCAAAUCACAUUCAAGGUAAUCAUAUAAGCACACAAAUCACAUUGGAUAGUAGACAUGAAUAAACUAUCAAACCAAACAAUGUGGUCAAGAGUAUUGUAUUAGAGAAAGACCGUAUUGCAUUUGUAAUCCGAAACUGAAUAGGUUCUCCACCUCUUCUGAUUAGCUUGGGUAGCCAUGAUAUGCUGCUAGGUGUCACUCAUGGUUUGUGGAAGCCCUAAACGUGUAUAAUCACUAAAGGGAGAAUUGAAAGUAAGUUUCAAUUCACAAUCGAUUUGAAAGAGUUCUAAUCUCUCACUGCCUCGCUAAAAAGAACCUAAUGGAUCGUACACCGUGUAAGGUAGAGAUUGAAGAAACAAAGGAGAUGAGUAAGAAUAAUUAAAUGGUUUGAUUAUUUAUUUAUGGCAAGGAUUAAUUAAUAUGUUAAUUAAUCAAACGAAUAAAGUUCAUUAAAAGAUCACGGGUUAGUUUUGGGCCUCAAGGCCCAAUGGGCUUCGAACGUCAAGCCAUUAACUUAAGUUGUAUGACAACUUAAUUCACAAAGGCCCAAAAAGCCCAAUAGAACCCUAUGGCCGGCCAUUUAGAGGAAGGGUAGUGAACUUGCUUUAAUUACAAGUUUGCCACUCCAAUGAAUAAAGGUAUAAAUAUGACUUUAUAGCCAAAAUUCAUUUAGGGUUUCUUUUAGAGAAUUGGAGAGAACAUAUCUCUCCCUUUUCUCUCUAAGAGGUCGGCCACCCUUGGAGGGAUUAACUAGUAAUCUUUCUCCUCCAAGGUCACUCAUCUCUUCUUCACAUCUUACCUUGGUGUGGAGACUUAGAGGUUCUCUAUUUUGAGAACUUGGAGAAACAUAUUCUUCCAUCCAAAUCCAUGGAUCUAAGAAGCAAGGAAUGAAGGCCCUCUCAUUGGGUGAUUAGCCUUUGCUUAUGCAAAGAGGAAUCUACAAAGGUAUAAAUUUCUCAACUCACUUUGAUUUGAGUUGAGUCUUGGUUCACCAAUCUACUAGGCUUUGAAUUUCAUGGUUAAUGUUUUGUUUUUAAGUGCAUACAAGCAUGAUUCCGCCUUUUAAUUGUUAAUUGCAUGCUAUAGAUGUUGCUUAAAUGAACAUGUUUUUCACAAAAUUUCCUUCAUCUUCAAGGGCCGUUGAGGCUUGAUCUUGAAUGGCGGUGAUGAACAGAUCUUCAAGGGCUUUUGAGGAUUGAUCUUGAUGAACAGUUGAUGGAUGGAUCUUCAAGGGCUUUUGGGCUUGAUCUUGAAUAACGGUGAUGAACGGACCUUCAAGGGCUUUUGGGUUUUGAUCUUGAAGGACGGUUGGAUGUGUGGAUUUGUCGACGUUGUUGAUCCAAAGGGCCGUUGGGGCUUGAUCUUGAAGGUUAGGUUGACGAAGAAUGAAGAGAGCUUUCUUGAUCAUUCGGGAUUUGCUUGGGAGCUUUGGAGUUUCAAAGUUUCAAGGUUUUGGCGUCAGGUGAAUUGGUUAUGAAUUGGUUCUUUUUCUCCCUUCAAAUGAAUGAAUUAGCCUUCUAUUUAUAGAAAUUUCCAGGGCUUAAUUUUGAAUAUAAUAUUCCAGAUGAAAUAAGUCGUUUCUGCCAUGUGUUGACAUGUGUCCUAUUUGAUGACUUUUCCGACUCUUUUCGAUUUUUCGUUUAGUCUACGUGUAAAAUUUAUGUGACACGUGAGCGUUGAAAUUGUAACUAUUGGUCAACAUUUAUUUCACCAAAAUUUCGAUGUCUACAAUAAUUCUUGAAAAAAUAAUUUUACAGUAACAAUCACAUAUGGUUGUAGGUCGGAGAAAAUUGCAAAGGCAUAGAGAAGGAUUUUGAUGACAAAUUUACCUAGCUAACGAAUUUCAGAAAAAAUUACAAAAAAAAAUUCAUUAGUUCUACAAGAUUUGGGGGUUAAAAUGUGAACGAUGAGAGGUUCCAUGUCGAGAGGCAUAGCUGAUGCGACCUAUAGAGGAAGUGAAAUGGAUAAAAGUUAAAGUUUGAGUAAGAACAAAGAUAAGUGGUGGGAUCCAAAAUUCUAAUUAUCUUUAAUUCUCUCAUGCAUUGCUUAUACAUUUCAAUUAAAAACUCAAAAAUAUGAUAUAUAUUUUUAGUCGCAUAUUGACAAAGUAAGUAAAUAAGAAAAAACACCUCACAGUUUUAUAUAAAAGCACUCCAAAAUUUCGAGGGGAAACAUCUAGUUGUAAGCCGGGGUUUUUUGGUUCCCUUUUCUCAAAUCAAAUGUUGUGUCACCAAUAAAAAUAAGCACGUUAAUCAACCCUUAAAUAAUAAUCCAAUCUUUAACUUCCAUGUCAUUUAGUUUACCAUAUUUUGUCUACAAAUUUAAUCUUCUUAACAUUACCCUUUCUAAAUUAUUAAAUUUGGUGUGCUUUUCUAAGUGUUAUUUUAUCGAAAUCUUACCUAUGAAAACAAAUAAUUUUUAUUAUAUGGAGUUUAGGGUAUAUUUUUUUACGUUGCCUUGGGCCUCAAAAAUCUCAAGACCGGCCCUGAUAUACAAUGAAUACCAUCCUCUUAUUCUAGUAAAAGCACUCAUUUUCUUUGCUCAGCGAUCAUUUUCUAGUCAAAGCAUAUAUAAUUAAAAGAAAACUUAGGUCACAGACACUUUUGGAAAUUUGGGGAUGCAAUUUUCAAGGGAGGCAGAUUGUCUGCUCUUUUGGUGCCCUUUCCAUCCCCUCCUAUUUAUAUGGUCAUGGUUAAGCCACGGCAACAUUUUAUAUUAAUUUUUUAAUAGAGAUAAUAGGACAAAAAAUAAUAAAAAUAUAAAAUGUUGAUGUAACUUAACCGUGACAGUAUAAAUAGAUGGGGAUGAGAAGGGCACCAUAACAGGAGGACAGACAAUCUCUGCCCUCCCACCAUUUUCAAGACGCCCAAAUCCUGUUUAUGGAAAUAUCCCUUCCAUUUUUCAAUUGGAUGGUUUUUUAAGGGUUUUUAUAUUAACACCUCGCAAAAUGUUGAAUGCACCCCACAUUAAAAUUUAAUAUUAAAUGACUUAUUUACUCUACUAUGUAAUGAAAAUUUUGACCUUAUUAGAUAUAAAAAAAAUAAAGAUUUAUAAAUACACCCCAAAUCACUUUUAAUGUAUUAUUUAUCUUCUCAACUAUCAAACAUGUUGAUUAAGAAAAAUUGUUUUUGACGAAUGGAACACGAAAUCGAUGUUUCAGGAGCUUCACAUGAGGUAAGACUUCAUAGUUUUCAUUGUUUUAGUGAUUUCAAUGACAUCAAUAAUGAUUUAAUCUUGCGUUUGUUGCAUUAUUUAAACUUCUAUAUUCAUAUUCAUCUUUUAGUGUUCAUAUGGUUAGAUUCAAUCCCUGAAAAUUAAUGAGUGUUAUAAGAUUUGAGAAAUGUGGGGUGUAAAGAAAAUGUGGGGUGUAUGUACAAAAUAUAAUAUGUAUAUUGAGAAUGUGGGGUGUGGGGGUAUUAUGGGAAAGUAAGUGGGUGUAUUAAGAUAAUUUUUAAGUGAAAAAGCAAAUGUGGGGUGUAUUAAGUUUAUGGGGUUUAUUCAACAAUUUGUGGGGUGUUAAUAUAAUUAGCCUUUUUUAAUUAAUAAAUCAAAAGAAAGAAGGUUAUGUGGAAGCUGAGACGGUUCUAACUUCCUUAUUAGAAAGACUGUUAGGGACGCUACAAGUGGAUGGAUGUAUGCAUGUGAGCACCCCCACCUCUUCUCCACUCCAAUUUUAACUUCUUCCACCCCAAUUGUUGGAGUGGCAUUAUCAUCACAUCACACCCUAUCUAUCUAUGUAGUAAGAAGCAUAGUCUAAAAUAUCUAUAAUAUUCCGAUAUUUCCAUCGAAAUUUUCGUGUUUUUGAACUACCGAUAUUUCCGAUAUCAUCGAUAUUUUAGACCUUGCUAAGUCACUCAUGUAUCUUACCAUGCAAUGUAUAAAGUGUAAAAUAUUGUACUAAUUCAUUAUAUAUAAAUGAUUAUGGUGUGCUUAAACUUCUUUCAUUAAUUACUACAUAUUUUCUACAUUCACAAUGUUUGCCAGCUCACUAUAUAAUCAACUUAAAUCAGUUAUAUCUAUCAUGAAAUGCAUUUCCUUCCAAUUUUUUGUGAUAAACUAAUAGAUAAUUGACUAAAUAAACAUCCUGCAAAGUUUCAAUAAAAAUUUCCAUGUUUUUCUUACAAUUUCAGUGGUUUUUAUUCAAUUUUUAUCGAUAUCGAUAAUAUCCUGAUAUUUUCAUUGAAAUUUUCGUGUUUUUGGAUUACUGAUAUUUCUAAUAUCAUCGAUAUUUUAUAUCUUAGUUCACCUGUGGUUUUUACGUUGAAAAAAAAUCAUAACAAUGGUGGUGAAGGUGUAUGGGCCUCUGUACGGCUCCCCAAAGCGUGUGCUGGUGUGCCUUGUUGAGAAAGAAAGAGGUCGACUUUGAGACAGUCUCCAUUGAUGUCCUCAAGGGAGAGCACAAACACCCUGAUUUCCUCAAGUUGCAGGUUGGCUAAUUAAUUACUUCUUAAUCCAAUUGUUUCUCAUUAGUGAUUGUUUUACUCAUAAACUAUGGAAAUUAUUAUAGGAGUUUUAACUAAACACUUCAGAUACUGUUCACUUUUAACGAAAAAUCACAUUUUUAGCAUUUUCUGGUACUAUUUACUACAUCUUUAUUUGUCAUUUUUCAUUAAAAUUAAAGUGUUUUUGAAUUUUUCGUUAGUUUUUCUAAUUAUUUAUGUGUAUGUUGAUUUUUGUAUUGGUUUGUUUUAAAUGCAGCCAUUUGGAUCAGUUCCUCUCAUUCAAGUUGGGGAUUAUAUAUACUCUAUAUGGUAUGCUGUGCCUUCUUGCUGGCACUUGAUUUUUUAAUUUUAUUGUUUAAUAUAAUACAAGUGAUAGUGGGGCAGGAAAAUAGAACUCGGAAUCUCAGUUGAAGCAAUGAAUAUUCUUAACUAACUGAGCGACAACUAUUUUGCAGCCAAAUUUUUUUAUCUUUUGAGAAUUCCCUUUUGUGGGUUUACUUCAGUUAGCAUCAGAUUCACACUACAAUACACUUGCUCAUUGGUUUCUUAACAUCACCAACCAUAGCGAAGCCACAGAGACGCAAGGAGGUACGAGAAUUCGUCCCUCUGAACCUGCACGGAAGGUGUUCAAUGAAAUUCCUGAACUGAUCACCAAUACAAUGAUCUAACAAGUUGCUUACUAAGAAUGUAAAGUUGCACAUCGGAAACCAGAGCAAAUAAAAUACAACACGUAAUUAAUGAUUCCACAACAAAUAGAACCGAAGAUAUUUUUUUAAUUUUUUUAAUUUUUAAUUUUUUGAGAUAAAACUCCACUGGUCCAUCUUUCUGAAAUCUUGCCAAUUGUUUGAUAAAUCGUCUUUGAUCUGUAGAAUCACGAGCAAUCAUAAGGUACUACGCAGAAAAGUAUAAGUCACAAGGGACUAAUUUACUGGGGAAGACAAUUGAGGAAAGAGGGCUUGUGGAACAAUGGCUGGAAGUUGAAGCGCACAACUUCCACCCACCUAGCUACAAUAUGGUCCUUCACAUUCUCUUUGCCUCAGUUUCGGGUUUUCCUUCAGACCCCAAGAUCAUACAAGAGAGUGAAGAAAAGCUGGGAAAAGUGCUGGACAUUUACGAGGAGCGGCUGUCGAAGAGCAAGUACUUGGCCGGUGAUUUCUUCAGCCUUGUUGAUCUUAGCCACCUUCCGCUCACUCAAUACUUGGUGGCUAAUAUGGGGAAGGAGUAUAUGAUCUGGGACAGAAAACAUGUCUCUGCAUGGUGGGAUGACAUUAGCAACAGACCAUCUUGGAAGAGGGUCCUCCAGUUUGGUGCCCCAUUUUAAGGUCGAUGUACCUUUGGAAGAAAAUGUGUGUACAACGGGUGUAUACAAUGGUUUUUCUCGUAGUGAUAACGUGUUGUGUAUAAAAAGUUAUUGUGAGAAGAAGGUUUUACUCUCUUGUACUUUAUAUAAACUUUUGUAACCUGGGGGUUGGGCAAAAUAAAUAAUCAGAACAACUUGUUGGAUUAGUGUGCUCUUUCCUUUAUCAUUUGCUUUAUGUCAUGGCUAUCUGCCGAUCUGUGGUCAUUUUUCUGUGUCAUCUUCCUUCUAUUUUCACUUGAUGAUCAACACUGCAAGGUCAAGCUCAUCUUUGAUGUUCGAACUUGUGAACUACAUAAUACUUCUCCAAAUUAGGGUUUAUCAAUAGUAAAAUAUGUGUGACUGUAACACUACUUGGCAGUGUGAAGUCGCACUGAGAAGAUUAAAUAAAUAAAUACAUGUGUUAUAGUAUGUAAAAUUGUAACACCACGUAACAAUAUAACAGUUACUUAUAAAGAUUAAGUACAUAAAUACACUUGUAUAAUAUGAAUUAAAAAGAUCAAGUACAUAAAUACAUGUGUAUAAUAUAAAUAUUAUUCAUGUAAGUGUCUCACGUGAGUGGCUAUAAAGGAGACAGUUGUUCAUCAUAUGAAUACAAAACAAGGCAGAUAGAUAUCCACAACUUCAAUGCAUUUCAGAUGCUUUCUCAUCACAUUUGGUACCUUUUACUCGUCUUAUGUCAUGCCCUCCAUUUUAUAUGAAUUAUUUAUAAAAAAUUGUUAUUGACAACGGUAAGACCUUUAUUUUAUUUUUUUAAUUUUUUUAUAUUUAGUUAUGAGGAGUGCAUAAUAGAUUUUUAGAGUAUCAAUAAGAAUUAUUUUAUAUGUACAUAAUUGUCUUUCCCUUGCUAUCUUAGAGCUUCACCAAAAUAAAUGUCAAAAUGUCCAAAUUAGUAUUAAUAGUCAAAAGAUAGCAACAAUUUUCCAAUGGAAAAACCAUAUCUGAUGUGGCAUGACAUAAAUUAGCAACUAUCACCCUUGUUGCCCAAAUUAACAGCAACUUCAAAUCAUUUUUUAAUUAAUUAUUGAUUGCAUUUUAUUAAGUUUAUUAUUGUUUUUUCUUUCAAAACAUUUAUUAUAAUAUUUUAAUAUAAUAAAAUAAUAGCUUAAUUGACACAUCGGGUGAAGAGAAAAACUAAAAUAUGUCAAACUACGACAUUGACUGUCAAAUUUAAAUUUUAUAUUUAAAAUUGGAUAAAUUACAUUUUACCCCCUCAAGUUGAGGUUAACAAAUUUGUUGGAAUUUUGGAUUGACAGGCCGGGCCGCCCCACUCUAACAACACCAAUAUUGUCCCACAACUUGGUAAUUACCACAUGUCCAAUCCGUCAUGUGUGCAGAUUAGGUUUAUUAAUUAGAGUGAGGUAAUCAUAUUUAAGCUCAUUAUUUCCCUUUCUCCCACAUGUGGAUGCAAAUUUCUUCCUCCUUGAUCUUGGACAAUUUUGCACCUACAAAACAAUUAACACCUUAGGUUAAGGCCAAGAGCCUUACGUGCCCACGAUGAAUGGGGGGGGGCGUUGGCCGAAGAACCUCCGAUGCCAAAGUUAGAAUUUAGAGAGAAAGAGUGUUUAGAGAAUUUUGGGAUUUUUGCCAAAGUGUUGGAAUGAAUACAACAACAACAACAACAACAAAGCCUUUUCCCACUAAGUGGGGUCGGCUAUAUGAAUCCUAGAACGCCAUUGCGCUCGGUUUUGUGUCAUGUCCUCCGUUAGAUCCAAGUACUCUAAGCCUUUUCUUAGAGUCUCUUCCAAAGUUUUCCUAGGUCUUCCUCUACCCCUUCGGCCCAGAACCUCUGUCCCGUAGUCACAUCUUCGAACCGGAGCGUCAGUCGGCCUUCUUUGCACAUGUCCAAAUCACCGGAACCGAUUUUCUCUCAUCUUUCCUUCAAUUUCGGCUACUCCUACUUUACCUCGGAUAUCCUCAUUCUCAAUCUUAUCCUUUCUCGUGUGCCCACACAUCCCACGAAGCAUCCUCAUCUCCGCUACACCCAUUUUGUGUACGUGUUGAUGUUUCACCGCCCAACAUUCUGUGCCAUACAACAUCGCUGGCCUUAUUGCCGUCCUAUAAAAUUUUCCCUUGAGCUUCAGUGGCCUACGACGGUCACACAACACGCCGGAUGCACUCUUACACUUCAUCCAUCCAACUCGUAUUCUAUAGUUGAGAUCUCCAUCUAAUUCUCCGUUCUCUUGCAAGAUAGAUCCUAGGUAACGAAAACGGUCGCUUUUUGUGAUCUUCGCUAGAUUGCUCCGGUCAUUAGUGUGGAUAAGUAUAUAAAUGGAUAGAGAUAGGAAAGCAAACACAAGAUGUACGUGGUUCACCCAGAUUGGCUACGUCCACGGAAUAGAAGAGUUCUCAUUAAUUGUGAAGGGUUUACACAAGUACAUAGGUUUAAGCUCUCCUUUAGUGAGUACAAGUGAAUGAUUUAGUACAAAUGACAUUAGAGUACAAAUGACAUUAGAGUACAAAUGACAUUAGGAAAUAUUGUGGGAGAAUGAUCUCGUAAUCACGAAACCUCUAAGUAUCGGAGUGUGGUAUCAUCUUGACUUGCCUUAUCUGUCUCAUAGGUAGAUGUGGCAGCUUCUCUGGAAGUACUCUUCCUCCAUCCAGGGGUGGUAUCUUUAAUUGGUGGAGAUGCACAAGGUAAUGUAUCAAUUUCACUUGAAGCUUACUUGUAGUUUCAGGCUUGGUCAAGCGCGAUACAAACCAUGUAGUAGGAGUCCCCCACGUCGCCGAGCUAGGGGAUCUGCUGAAAGAGGUGACAGACAAGGUAAGCAAUCAGAGCUCCGGCUGAUUGUUCACCUUCUCCCCAUCUUGCAGCAGCAUGAAGGAUAAAGAGAAGAAAAAUGAGAAGAGAUGAUAUGGGAUACUUUUGCUUUUGAAGAAAUAGCUUUCCACAGGCUUAUUCUUGAACUGAGCUGGAGGGUUUUCUGGUUUCCUCCAGAGUAUAAGGCCGACUGAAGAAUUUGAGGGUCAAAACAAGUCCAUCAAAUCUAGAGUACGUUCGACCCUGCUGAUAUGGGAUACUUUUGCUUUUGACAGAGUAAUGGAUGUAUAGGCACGUGUGCUGUUACGUUUGUCUCCACAUGCUUCCUUGUAUCCUUCGCACUUGCCCUAUCUGUUCCUCAAGCAGAUGCGGUAUCUUCCCUGGAAACAUAAGAUGUUGAAGAUGAGUACUCGAGAGCAAUGCCAGGUAAGUAAUCAGGUAAGGGGUUCUAGGCAGUCAGUUCCUGAUUGGGAGCUUGAUUUCAAGUGCUGACUGAUUGCUCUCUUUCUCCUUGUCUUGCAGGUAAAAACAAGGCCAAAGGAAAAGACAGGGAAAAGCAUGAUAUGGGAUACUCUUGCUUUUAACCCUGAUGAUAUGAGAUAUUCUUGCUCUAGUAUAGCUUGUUUGCAGAGGUAUUAUCAGGGGGAAAGAAAGCUGAAUAUUUCGAAAGGCUUCGUUGGGAGUGCCCUCUUAGAUAUGAGGAAGGGUUAAGCAUUUUUGCAGGUCUGCCUGUUCGUUGGGGAUGAAGGUCGACAUAUAUAGAAGUCUCCCUAACAACAAGUAGUAAUGCUAUUCCUUUACCCUGCUUGGUCAUAGCACGGUAGUGGGAGCUGCCAGCUUCACAUGUUUUAACUCUGUCAGAGCACUUUGAAAAAGUGGCAUGUGGUAUCUGGCUCUCGAGAUUCGGAGAACGAUGCUUCUUCGAUUUUUGAGAAAGCAAUCAUGCUGGGGGUCUGGCUCUCGAGAUUCGGGGAGCAGUGUCUCUUCGAUUUUUGAGAAAGUAAUCAUGUUGGGAGUCUGGCUCUCGAGAUUCGGAGGGCGGUGCCUCUUCGAUUUUGGAGUAAGCAAUCUUGUUGGGAGUGUUUUCUCGGAUGUGAGUAAAGGUUCGGCAUGUUUACUAGUCUACCUUGCCACGAAGCACGGAGGUUGACACACAGGGACUUUCCAAUUAUCCAGCAGUGGUACUGUUCCUUUACCCUUAUGGGUAAUAAUAUGGUAGCUAGACCUUCAAAAUUUAUGUGUCUAAACUUUGUUAGUGCUGUUCUUUUGCUAUUCUUUUACCUUUCUUGGUCAGAGCGAUAUAGUGGGAGCUGCAAGCUUCACGUGCUCAACUUUGGCAGAGACUUUGGCAAAGUUAUCUGUGGUACCCAUGAGCUAUUGUUGCGUGUGGGAAGUGGGUGAUUGAACAGUAAGAUUCAUGUGUUUUCGACUUCACCAGAAGUCUUCGACAGAAUGCCCAUAAUUUCCGCAAAGCUGAGUGUGCGUGUGACAGGUGCUGACAAGGCUAGAAAAGUAGGUGCCUCUUCGAUUUCUGAGAUCGGCCCUCGUGAUCUCUGAGCAGCCCAGCUUUUGAGAAAGCGAGCGCCUCUUCGAUUGAUUCGGAGAACGAUGCCUCUUCGAUUUUUGAGAAAGCAAUCAUGCUGGGGGUCUGGCUCUCGAGAUUCGGGGAGCAGUGUCUCUUCGAUUUUUGAGAAAGUAAUCAUGUUGGGAGUCUGGCUCUCGAGAUUCGGAGGGCGGUGCCUCUUCGAUUUUGGAGCAAGCAAUCUUGUUGGAAGUGUUUUCUCGAAUGUGAGUAAAGGUUGGGCAUGUUUGCUAGUCUACCUUGCCACGAAGCACAGAGGUUGACAUACAGGGACUUUCCAAUUAUCCAGCAAUGGUACUGUUCAUUUACCCUCUCUUCGAUUUUUGAGAAAGUAGUCAUGUUGAGAGUCUGGCUCUCGAGAUUCGGAGGACGGUGCCUCUUCGAUUUUGGAGCAAGCAAUCUUAUUGGGAGUGUUUUCUCGAAAAUGUGAGUAAAGGUUCGGCAUGUUUGCUAGUCUACCUUGCCACAAGGCACAGAGGUUGACACACAGGGACUUUCCAAUUAUCCAGCAGUGGUACUGUUCCUUUACCCUUGUGGGUAAUAAUAUGGUAGCUAGACCUUCAAAAUUUAUGGGUCUAAACUUUGUUAGUGCUGUUUCUUUGCUAUUCUUUUACCCUUCUUGGUCAGAGCGAUGUAGUGGGAGCUGCAAGCUUCACGUGCUCAACUUUGGCAGAGAACUUUGGCAAAGUUAUCUGUGGUACCCAUGAGCUAUUGUUGCGUGUGGGAAGUGGGUGAUUGGACAGUAAGAUUCAUGUGUUUUCUACUUCCCCAGAAGUUUUCGACAGAAUACCCAUAAUUUCCGCAAAGCUGAGUGUGUGUGUGACAGGUGCUGACAAGGCUGGAAAAGUAGGUGCCUCUUCGAUUUCUGAGAUCGGCCCUCGUGGUCUCUGAGAAGCCCAGCUUUUGAGAAAGCGAGCGCCUCUUCGAUUUCUGAGAUCGGCUUUCAUGGUCUUUGAGCAGCCCAACUUUUGAGAAAGCAAACACCUCUUCGAUUUAUGAGAUCACCCUCGUGGUCUCUAAGCAGCCCAGCUUUUGAGAAAGCAAACGCCUCUUCGAUUUCUGAGCAGACGCCUCUUCGAUGUCUGAAGCUCCGUCGAGUGCAGCUUUUUAUAGGGGCUAGCAUUAAGUUCCAAAGCACACUUGAAUCUCCACCAGUAGAAGCUCCAUUCUUGCACUUCUAAGAUCUUGAUUUGUCCGACUUCUUCUCUCUUCAACACCUUUGAAAAUGUCUGGCCCCUCCGACCGUCGUUUUGACUUGAACCUUGUUGAAGAGGCAGCCCCGCCUUCUCCAGACAACAUAUGGCGCCCAUCCUUCGUCUCCCCUACUGGUCCUCUUACCAUUGGGGAUUCCGUGAUGAAGAAUGAUAUGACCGCGGCGGUGGUGGCCAGGAACCUUCUCACUCCCAAAGAUAACAGACUACUUUCCAAACGGUCUGAUGAGUUAGCUGUUAAGGAUUCGCUGGCUCUCAGUGUUCAGUGUGCAGGUUCUGUGUCUAAUAUGGCCCAACGCCUAUUUGCUCGAACCCGCCAAGUUGAAUCAUUGGCGGCCGAAGUGAUGAGUCUCAAACAGGAGAUUAGAGGGCUCAAGCAUGAGAAUAAACAGUUGCACCGACUCGCACAUGACUAUGCUACAAACAUGAAGAGGAAGCUUGACCAGAUGAAGGAAACUGAUGAUGGUCAGGUUUUACUUGAUCAUCAGAGAUUUGUGGGUUUGUUCCAAAGGCAUUUAUUGCCUUCGUCUUCUGGGGCUGUACCGCGUAAUGAAGCUCCAAAUGAUCAACCUCUGAUGCCUCCUCCUUCUAGGGUUCUGUCCAAUACUGAGGCUUCGAAUGAUCCCCCUUCGAUGCCUUCUCUUUCUGGGGCUCUACCGACUGCUGAGACUUCUCCUAAGCAACCUUUGUGAAGGCUCCAUCUUGUUUGUUUAUUUUGACUCAUGUAUAUGUACAUAUUUGUAGCUUAUCGGGGAUAUCAAUAAAUAAGUUUUCCUUCAUUUCAACGUAUUGUGUUAAAUACACCAAAGCCUUCUUCGCUAAGUUCUUUGAUUUUUUUUUUUUUGUUGAAGCUUGUAUGUUGAAGCUUUCUGAGUGGAGCAUGUAGGUUGGGGUAGUGUUCCCUUAAUUUUCCGAGUGAGGAAAACUUCUCGGUUGGAGACUUGGAAAAUCCAAGUCACUGAGUAGGAUCGGCUAUAUGAAUCUUAUAACGCCAUUGUGCUCGGUCCUGUGUCAUGUCUUUCGUUAGAUCCAAGUACUCUAAGUCUUUUCUUAGAGUCUCUUCCAAAGUUUUCCUAGGUCUUCCUCUACCCCUUCGGCCCUGAACCUCUGUCCCAUAGUCGCAUCUUCUAAUCGGAGCGUCAGUAGGCCUUCUUUGCAUAUGUCCAAACCACCGUAACCGAUUUUCUCUCAUCUUUCCUUCAAUUUCGGCUACUCCUACUUUACCCCGGAUAUCCUCAUUCCUAAUCUUAUCCUUUCUCGUGUGCCCACACAUCCAACGAAGCAUCCUCAUCUCCGCUACACCUAUUUUGUGUACGUGUUGAUGCUUCACCGCCCAACAUUCUGUGCCAUACAGCAUCGCCGGCCUUAUUGCCGUCCUAUAAAUUUUCCCUUGAGCUUCAGUGGCAUACGGCGGUCACACAACACACCAGAUGCACUCUUCCACUUCAUCCAUCCAGCUUGUAUUCUAUGGUUGAGAUCUCCAUCUAAUUCUCCGUUCUUUUGCAAGAUAGAUCCUAGGUAACGAAAACGGUCGCUCUUUGGUAUUUCUUGAUCUCCGAUUCUCACCCCUACCUCGUUUUGGCCUCCAUUUGCACUGAACUUGCACUCCAUAUAUUCUGUCUUUGAUCGGCUUAGGCGAAGACCUUUAGAUUCCAACACUUCUCUCCAAAGGUUAAGCUUUGCAUUUACCCCUUCCUGAGUUUCAUCUAUCAACACUAUAUCGUCUGCGAAAAGCAUACACCAAGGAAUAUCAUCUUGAAUAUGUCCUGUUAACUCAUCCAUUACCAACGCAAAAAGGUAAGGACUUAAGGAUGAGCAUUGAUGUAAUCCUACAGUUAUGGGAAAGCUUUCGGUUUGUCCUUCAUGAGUUCUUACGGCAGUCUUUGCUCCUUCAUACAUAUCCUUUAUAGCUUGGAUAUAUGCUACUCGUACUCCUUUCUUCUCUAAAAUCCUCCAAAGAAUGUCUCUUGGGACCUUAUCAUACGCUUUUUCCAAAUCUAUAAAGACCAUGUGUAAAUCCUUUUUCCCAUCUCUAUAUCUUUCCAUCAAUCUUCGUAAGAGAUAGAUUGCCUCCAUGGUUGAGCGCCCUGGCAUGAACCCGAAUUGGUUGUCCGAAACCCGUGUCUCUUGCCUCAAUCUAUGCUCAAUGACUCUCUCCCAGAGCUUCAUUGUAUGACUCAUUAACUUAAUACCCCUAUAGUUCAUGCAAUUUUGUACGUCGCCCUUAUUCUUGUAGAUAGGCACCAAAGUGCUUGUUCGCCACUCAUUUGGCAUCUUCUUCUUUUCAAAAUCCUAUUGAAAAGGUCAGUGAGCCAUGUUAUACCUGUCUCUCCCAAAACUUUCCACACUUCGAUUGGUAUAUCGUCUGGGCCUAUUGCUUUUCUAUGCUUCAUCUUCUUCAAAGCUACAACCACUUCUUCCUUCCGGAUUCGACGAUAAAAAGAGUAGUUUCUACACUCUUCUGAGUUACUCAACUCCCCUAAAGAAGCACUCAUUUUAGGUCCUUCAUUGAAAAGAUUAUGAAAAUAACAUCUCCAUCUGUCUUUAACCGCGUUCUCUGUAGCAAGAACCUUUCCAUCCUCAUCCUUGAUGCACCUCACUUGGUUUAGGUCCCUUGUCUUCUUUUCCCUUGCUCUAGCUAGUUUAUAGAUAUCCAACUCUCAUUCUUUGGUAUCUAGUCGUUUAUACAUAUCGUCGUAAGCCGCUAACUUAGCUUCUCUGACAGCUUUCUUCGCCUCUUACUUCGCUUUUCUAUACCUUUCACCAUUUUCAUCGGUCCUAUCCUUGUUUGGGAAUUACCUUGUAGAUAGGAUUUGAUGAGAUGGACUUUGAAUUGUUACCUAUUUUGGGCACUUCUGUCUUGGUUGAAAGAGGGUUGCUCGCUGCUUGCGCGUAGGAACCUCGUUGUACUGCAAGGGUAUUUUUGUCAUUUUUGUCCAAAAAUUCACGUGUCGCCUUGUGAAUAUUUUUGGCUCCACACCACCGAUGUGGGAUAAUCAACAAAAGUAACCGUUGAAUAAUGACGUAAUAAUAAUGUGUUCCUCAUUUAUGCUAACGUGCCAACUUGUGCCACAUGACCAUUAAAUUAAAAAACUUUUCGACUAGAAAAAUGAUCUUCGAAAUGCAUCCUUUAAUCUCUGAAAAUAUAAUUUAUCCUUUAAAAUUUAGCAUCUCUUUUUGAAGAUGCUGCUAAGACAUAAGAAAACUACAAAUGGAUGGAUGUAUACAUGUGAGCAGCCCCACCCACCCUCCACUCCAAUUUUAAAUUCUUCCAUCCAAUUGUUGGAGUGCUAUAUAAUAAGAAGUAAAGAACCAGAAGCUGGAGUUUGCAGAUUUGAUCUAAAUCCUUCGGUUUUAACACUAAGAAGUCAUAACAUGGUGGUGAAGGUGUAUGGGCCUCUGUACGCCGCCCCAAAGCGUGUGCUGGUAUGCCUUGUUGAGAAAGAGGUUCACUUUGAGACAGUCCCCAUUGAUCUUCUCAAGGGAGAGAACAAACACCCUGAUUUCCUCAAGUUACAGGUUAGCUAAUUAGUUACCUCUUAAUGCAAUUGUUUCUGAUUAGUGAUUGUUUUACUCAUGGUAUGAAUUGAGAUGGUCUUUUGUAAAUACAUAAUUAUUUUGAGUAUAUUAAUUAUUUCUUUAUUUUCCAAUCGUCUGGAAAGGCCAAAAGAAACAUCUUAUUCUUUCUUCAACAAUUUCUGAUCUUUAGUGGACCUCUCAAUAGGAUUUAAACCCAGAUGAAGUUCUGAUCAUCUGUCAGAGAAAAAAGAACGAAUAAGUCUGUAAAUUAUUUACUUGUACAUUGAUUUUGUAUUGGUUUGUCUUUAAUUGCAGCCAUUUGGAACAGUUCCUCUCAUUCAAGAUGGGGAUUAUACUCUAUAUGGUAUGCUAUGCUUUCUUUCUAGCACUUGAUAUUUUAGUUUUUAUUGUUUAUUCUGAUACAAGUGAUAGUGCGGUAGGAAAAUCAAACUCGGAAUCUCAGUUGUAUCGAUGAAUAUUGUUAAUCAACUGAGCAACAACCAUUUUUACUAGCACAUGAUAGAUCUUAAUUUUUGGGGCCAAAAUUUAUCAUCUUUUGAGAAUUUCCUUAGCAUCAGAUUGACAUUACAAUACACUUGCUCACUGGUUUCUUAACAUCAUUGUUGUUUAAGAAUGUAAAGUUGCAUGUCGGAAACCUGACCGAAUAAAAUGCAACACGUAAGUAGCGAUUCCACUAAUAAUAGAAGGGAAUUUUAACGAAAAACUCCAUGUACUGUUCACUUUAACGAAAAACCACAUUUUUACACUAAAAAGUCAAUCCUGGUACUAUUCAUUUUACCCUUUAUUUUGUCCUUAUCGUUAAAACUCAAAAUUUUCAAGCUAUUUUCAUUAGUUUUCCUAAUAUAGGGGUACCAAAGUAUUUUGAGAUAAAACUGCAGUGGUAUGUCUUUCUGAAAUCUUACCAGUUUGAUAAAAUCGUCUUUGAUCUGCAGAAUCACGCGCAAUCAUGAGGUACUACGCAGAAAAAUAUAAGUCACAAGGGACUGAUUUGCUGGGAAAGACAAUUGAGGAAAGAGGGCUUGUAGAACAAUGGCUGGAAGUUGAAGCACACAACUUCCAGCCACCAAUCUACAACUUGGUCGUUCACAUUCUCUUUGCCCCAGUUUUGGGUUUUCCUUCAGACCCCAAGAUCUUACAAGAGAGUGAAGAAAAGCUGGGAAAAGUGCUGGACAUUUACGAGGAGCAGCUGUCGAAGAGCAAGUACUUGGCCGGUGAUUUCUUCAGCCUUGCUGAUAUUAGCCACCUUCCAUUCACUCACUUCUUGGUGGCUAAUAUGGGGAAGGAGUAUAUGAUCAAGGACAGAAAGCAUGUCUCUGCAUGGUGGGAUGACAUUAGCAACAGACCAUCUUGGAAGAGGGUCCUACAGUUUGGUGACCCAUUUUAAGGUCGAUACCUUGUAAGAAAAAUUGUGUACUAAGGGUGUCUAUAAUUAUUUUUCUCGCAGUGAUACGUGUUGUGUGUGAAAAAUUAUUGUGUGAAGAACGUUAAAUUCUCGUGUAACGUUAUAUUCUCUUAUAGUUUAUAAAACUAUUGUACCCUGGAGUUGGGCAAAAUAAAUAAUCAGAACAGCUUGUUGGAAUAAUGUGCUAUCUCCUUGAUCAUUUGCUUUAUGUCAUGGCUUGUGAGAUGUUUUUUAUUUCUCUGUAAGGCUCACAAUCGACCUUCCAUUUGCUGAUUGGCUGAUCUUUGAUCGUUUUUCUGCUUCGUCUUCCUUCUAUUUUUCUGUUUCUGUAGUCCUCAUCUCUGAUGCCCGAACUUGUGAACUACAGGGUUAUACCUCUCCAAAUUAGGAAUAGUAAAUAAAUAAAGUGUUGCAAUAAGUGUGACUCUAAUAUCAUGUGGCAGUAUGACAACCGCAUUAAAAAGAUCAAAUAAAAAAUACACGUAUAAAUAUGUAUAAUUGUAACAUUAUGUGACAGUGUGACAACUUCAUUGAAAAGAAAAAAAAUCUUCAAACUUAAGAGCUUAGUUUUGCUAGAAAGGGUCAUGCUUGUACCUUGUAGGUUUAUGGGCCUUCUUCAGGCUGAAUUUGUUGUUAAUUUUAAUGCUUUUGAAAACCUCAUUAGUUUUGUGAAUGUUUGAUAUCAGAUCGUUACGAAAAAAGCUAAACAAAAUUGUUCAUAUUAAUAUACUAAAGAUUCUAUGAUACUGAUCAAAUCAAAUUACAAACAUGUACAUCUAUUAUAUUUGGACCGUGAGCUUUACAUAUACGUUAUAGAACAAUGUUCAACUCUUUAUAUAUAAAGAGUAUUUUGAAAUGUGUAACUUAUUAAACUCAUAUAAAAAGUUGGGUUUUUAUCACAAAUGGUCAUUGAAAUUGACUCACCUUAUCAAGAUGAUCACUGAAAUUAAAAAUCAAUCAAUGUGAUCCCUGAAAAUAAAUAUCGCAAAUCAAUGUGGUAUUUCCGUCACAAAUAUGUUAAAAUUAUGUUAUGUACUGAUAUGGCACAUAACUGGAUCCCACAAGUCUAAUUAUGACACACCCCGACCGAGAUCAAGGCAUGCUGGCCGUCACGUGAGGGUGACGUAGCCAUGUACACAGUGCGGAAGCAAUAAGGAUAGGAAAUAUAUGAAUAAAUAACAACCGAAAGUUACUAAUGUGCACUCAUAAACCAGAAGUGCUAAGAGUGAAAUACAAGUGUAAGUACACCUAAUCAGAGCGUAGAAAGUCUAGGUGCAAUCCAGUAGGACAAGUACUAGUCAUACAGUACCAUAAGAUGUCCUACAAUUAUUUUAAUAUGUCAGAACCACUGAAAUCCUCGCAUGCCACCAACAGCAAGCUUACCUAAAACCUGGAGGGGCGCAAAACAAAAACGUGAGCGGGCAAAAAAAAAAACAAAUGUUUUGCAAAACCAUUUCAUUUCUCAAAGGUUCUAACCCCUCACCAUAAAACAUGUAUAAUUUUCCCAGAGAUAGAAUAUAGACAUAUGCAUAAAUGUAUAUGUAAUUAUCUCAAUUCCAAUCAUGCUUCACAUAUUCAUAAUCAUAAGUAUGUCAUGCCAAGAUAUAACAGAAUAGGUAAUUCAGGUGAGAAUAAAUUCAAGGAAAGUAACAUAUAAGUCGGAACACCUGUAGAAAUCUGUACGGUUGAAUUCAUAGCUCAAUAGUCAACCUAGCCAGAGUCACUAAUAUGACCUAUACGACAUUACACUGCACACAAGUCGGAACCAAUGAAAGGUCUGUACGACAAGACUGGGUUUAAUAUAAUUAUACUCAAUACUACUCUCUCAUGAUAGUUAGGCGAUAAGUCGCUAGUCACCUACAAGUUGGAACCACUUAUGAUGGUCUAUACGACAAGACUGUGCACCUAAAUUGGAUCCAAUAUGAGCAUAUGGUGCAGGAGGUGACAUUAUAUACAGGCAUGUGUCAUAUCUCUAGCUAAAUCAUAAUCACCCUAGGUGCAGGUUUAUGAGCUCAAUGUUUCUCAAUCACAUAUCACAUCAUCGAUGAUUCACAUAACCAAACAUAACUCACCUGUUACUUACCUGAGCGUCCACAACACCACAAUUAUAUAUUAUGCAUCAUAUACUAUAGCAAAUACAAAAUAUAAAUCUAUAUGCAUGACAUUCAAGGCAUACUUUCAUUUAAAUGCAUUUUUUGGGAAAAUAUCAAGUAUAUAAGUAUAUACUGAAAACCAAAAGCCUGCUCACUGGUAUGUCAAAGGGUCGUAGCCCCCGAGUCGCCCUUGAUUGCGCUCUUCCUCGGGGUAAGUCUCACCUAUAUGCGAAUUAACUGAAUAAAUGUUAAAUUAAAGCACAUAACCAAUAUUAGCUAAUAACUACUCAUACAUUGCUCAAAUGGGAUGUUUGAAUAUACCAACGUGAUCUACACAACUCCACGAACAUCCUUAUAUUUUUAGAAAAUAUUUCCGACCACGCACGCGCCGCCAAGCACCGACCAAGGCACGGCCAGAUGCACCGCCCACGCGCAGGCACAUGCCAGGCACACUGACAGUAACCCUAACAGCAUUAGGGAAUAUUCCGUUAAAAAGUAGCAUAUACCUUUAAAACUAACCUGACGCCGUUAGAAUAUUCCGUCGUCUCCUUCCUUGGUUCGCUGGACCGUCGCCGUUGCCGGAAAAACUGGAAAUUUUCUAACCUUAAUAUCUCAGUUGUUUUUCAUCCAAACUUCAUGAAACUUAACUCAAUUUAAAGCUCUUAACUUGUAGAACAUCCCCAUACCUAUUUAAUGCUCUGAAAAUGACGGAACCCGCCGGAAAAUCCUCCGAUAAUCCAGCUAAACCUGUAACUCGUCGAAACUAGGUCUCUUGACAUCCAAUUUGCUUGGUUUUGAAGGAUAAAAUUUGUCCUAGCUAAGAACAUGUGAGAAUAUUUGAACACAUAUGCAAACUAUUAACACAUUUAAAGUAGGCAUGCAUUCAAAAACAAUUCUAAAACCCAUGACUUUCAAAGCCUAGUGAAUAGUGAACCAAGAGACUCUUUAACAACAUUAAAGAGAAAGAAGGUUUUAGAGAUUCAUUACCCUUGAAGCUCAUCCUUGUUUACACAAGGGAUUCACCCAAGUGGAGGGCCUUCAAGUCACCUCCUAGCUCCUUGGAUCUUCCUUGUGAUUUCCUUCCUUUUUUUAUGCUCCUUUGCUCCUUGAGGAUGUGAGGAAAGGAUCUCCAAAAACACCAAAGGUUUGGUGUCACUAAGUCUCCACACCAAGGAUGAGGUGUGAAGAUGAAAUGGAUGACUUAGAGAAGAAAAGAUUGCUAGCUAUCUCCUCUCUAAGUGGCCGGCCUCCUUGUAGAGAAAAAGAGAGAAAGUCCUUCACCUUUUUGCCUCAAGAAAACCCUAAUGAGGUAAAACCUAUAAAGAUGCUUUUAUAUCUCUUUUCUUAGGUGAGUGGCAAACUUGCAAUUAAGCAAAACUUCUCACUACCCUUGCUAUGGCCGGCCAUCUUAAGUGAUUGGGCUAUUUGCCCAUAUUUAUUUUAGUUAUCAUACAGCUUAAACAUAAUGGGCCUAGUGGACCAAACCCUUUUGGACCCCAAAGCCCAAAACUAACUUAAAAGCCCAAUACGAACCUUUCCUAAAAUUAAUUAACUAAUUAAUUAAUCUUGACCAUUCUCAAUUAAACCAUUUAAUUGCUUAUCCAUCUCAUUUAUAUUUCUUCACUUUCAUCCUUACUCGGUGUACGAUCCAUUAGGUUCUAAUUAGCGAGGCAGUGGGCGAUUGUUACUCUUCACGAUCGAUUAUGAAUUGAAACUACAUUUCAAUUCUCCCUUUGAUUAAGAUUAGUUUUUGCUAAUCUUCAAGGCUUCCACAAACCAUGAGUGACACCUAGUAGCAUGUCAUGGUUACCCAAGCUAAGUAGAAGUGGUUGGAGAACCUAUCCAGUUACAACUACAACGCAAUACGGUCUUUCUCUAAUACAAUACUCUUAAUCACAUUGUUUGAGUGACAGUUUGUUUCAUGUCUACUAUCCAAUGUAAUACUUCUCUAUAUGAUUCAAUUGAAUAUGAUUUGGAACAUACUUCCUAAGUCAUAUUCGUAUGCUUUGGCCAAAGACUCCCGAAUCAUAUCUUAGAGUAUUCUCCUUCCACCAUGGAAGGUUAGAGAUCCCUUGUUGUGCAUUCAUAUGCCUACAUGACUAGAUAGCUUGACCCCAACAAUGUCGUGGACACUCUCGAUGGAAUGCCUUUGACAUGAUCAAAGAUCAAGGACCUAACCAUUAGACAUCUAUGAUGCCUCAGGUCAAAUGACUACUUUGCAUAUUGCAACUUACGAGUUCUUACAUGACAUGUAUGUUCGAACUCUCUUUUGAUCGUUGUUCAGUGUACUCGAUUACUCUUUCGAGCACCUAUGUGUUUGUCUUAGUGUCAAACACUAAAUGACUUGAGACUGGUCAUACUCACGCUUGAGUUGACAUAACACAUACUAACCUUAGCGGAUUGUUAAUGCCCAAUUAGCAAUCCUAUGGCUAGGAACGUUUUAGGAAUGAACAUAAGAGAAAUGGUCUCGAUUAAUCUAACUUACUUAAAUCACUUCUCUCUUAGAUCAAAUACAUUCCUUGGAUUCCCUUAUUGCUUAAACACAUGAUACAAUAAAUAGUGAUUAACAAUAAGCUUUGCCUUUCAUUAAACAUAUAAUAGUUUAAUACAAUAAGUAUUCCAAAAGCUAUUACAUCAAAUGAGUGGCUUUGUGGGCAUACUUCCAACAAUCUCCCACUUGCACUCAAAGCCACCUUCCCAUGUAUCUAAUACCCAUCUUUUCCAUAUGGCGGUCAAGUUGGAUUUGAGACAUUGGCUUUGUCAGUGGAUCUGCUACGUUAUCUGGCUGAGGGCAACCUUUGAGGAUGUUGACUUUCCCCCUCGGCAGCAUAUCUUCUAAUGAUAUUAAAGCGCCUGUCAAAAUGCUUGUUCUUUUGAUGAGCCCUGGGUUCCUUGGCUUGAGCUAUCGCCCCACUAUUAUCACAGUACAAAGUUACUGGUGAUGUAAUGGUUGGAACCACUCCAAGUUCAGUAAUGAACUUCUUCAUCCAGAACGCUUCUUUGCCGGCUUCAGCUGCAGCGACAUAUUUUGCCUUUGUCGUGGAAUCAGUAAUUACAUCUUGUUUCUUGCUUUUCCAGCUGACAGCCCCACCAUUCAGAGUGAAUACAUAUCCGGAGUUGGAACUUCUAUCAUCGACGUCAGAUUGGAAAUCUGCGUCUGUAUAGGCCUUCCACUCGCAACUCUGUUGCUCCUCCAUAACGAGGAACAUGUCCUUAGUUCUUCUUAAGUACUUAAGGACCGUCUUGACAGCUGCCCAGUGUUCUGAUCCUGGGUUAGAUUGAUAUCGACUAGUAAUGCUCACAGCAUAUGCGAUAUCAGGCCUUGUGCAUAUCAUGGCAUACAUGAGACUUCCUAUGGCGGAAGCAUAAGGAAUAGCACUCAUCUGCCGUAUCUCUUCAGGAGUUUUAGGUCCCAUGGACUUAGAAAGGUGAAUUCCAUGUCUCAACAGGAAGAAGACAUUUCUUAGAUCUUAGAUUGUUCCAUCUGGAACCUACUUAGCACCUUAUCAAUGUACAUAGAUUGGGAUAAUCCAAUUAAUUUUCUGGAUCUAUCACGAUAGAGCUUUAUCCCAAGUACAUAAGAUGCAUCUCCUAAAUCUUUCAUGUGGAAGGUUUUGGACAACCACACUUUUACAGAAGAAAGUACUGCAGUGUCAUUCCCGAAUAGUAAUAUGUCAUCUACAUAUAACACUAGGAAUACAACUGCAUCCCCAACGACUUUUUGAUAAACACAAUUGUCGUCUUCGUUUUGAGUAAAACCAAACGUUUUGAUUUCAGUAUCGAAACGAAUGUUCCAGCUCCUGGAGGCUUGCUUAAGUCCAUAAAUGGACCUUUGAAGCUUGCAUACCUUAGUCUUUUCAGACUUGGACACGAAACCUUCGGGUUGAGUCAUAUAGAGCUCUUCCUCUAGGUAGCCGUUCAGAAAAGGUCCGUCUUCACGUCCAUUUGCCAUAUCUCAUAAUCAUGGUACGCAGCUAUAGCAAGCAAAAUCCGAAUGGACUUAAUCAUGGCUACAGGAGAGAAAGGUUUCUUCUUCAUAGUCAAUCCCUUCUCUUUGCCUGUAAACCCUUGGCUACUAGUCUAGCCUUAUAAGUCUCCACGUUCCCAUCAACGCCUAUCUUCCUCUUGAAGACCCAUUUGUUUCCAACAGGUACUAUACCUUCUGGAGGGUCUAUAAGAGUCCAGACCUGAUUUUGAUACAUGGAAUCCAUCUCGGAUUUCAUGGCCUCUUGCCAUCUCUUUGAAUCAAUGUCGGACAUUGCUUCAGUGUAGUCUCUAGGGUCUUCCUUUGUGUUCAUUGUCACCUAGAAGGUGCAAUUCCCAAAGUCAUUGUCUAAGCCAUACCUCUUUAGGUGGCUUACUAAUCCUUUCAGAUCUACGUGGAGCUAGGGGUUCAGGAACAGGGUUGUUAACUUGUUGAGUGCUUGUUUGUGGUUCAUCAUUAAUCUCAUUAAUUUCCAUCGUUCUGCUUAUAGUUCAUUUGAGAACAAAUUCGUCCUCUAGAAACUUAACAAUUCUGGCGACAAAAACUUUUUGGUCGUCAGGAUGGUAGAACUCAUAUCCCAUAGUUUCUCUAGGAUAUCCCACAAAAUAGCACCUAACUGAUCUUGCUUCAAGCUUAGUAGCUUCAAGCUUCUUGACAUAUGCUUCACAACCCCAAAUCUUAAUGUGAUUAAGACUUGGCUUUCUUCCAUGCCAUAUCUCAUAGGGCGUCUGUGAAAUUGACUUGGAAGGUACUCUAUUAAGCAAGUAAACUGCUGUAUAUAUAGCGUAUCCCCAUAAUGUUACUGGUAGAUCGGUGGAACUCAUCAUAGAACGAACCAUGUUCAUCAAGGUUCGAUUUCUCCUUUCAGAAACUCCAUUAAGUUGUGGAGUUCCCGGUGGAGUCCACUGUGAUAUUAUUCCACACUCUUUGAGAUAAUCUAGGAACUCAGUUACUCAGAUACUUCACCCCCUCGAUCUGAUCUUAGGAUCUUUAUUUGUUUCCCAGUUUGCUUCUCAACUUCAUUCUUGAAUUCUUUGAACCUUUCAAAGGAUUCUGACUUGUACUUCAUAAGAUACACAUAGCCAAACCGAGAGUGAUCGUCGGUGAAUGUGAUAUAGUAGGAGAAGCCUCCUCUCGAUGUAGUAGACAUAGGUCCACAUAUAUCAGUGUGGAUUAACCCUAGAAUUUCAGUGGCACGCUCUCAUUUCCCAGUGAAUGGAGAUUUGGUCAUCUUCCCUUUUAAGCAACAUUCACAAGUACCCAUUUGGUCAUUACCUAAUGGGCGGAAAUAUCCGUCUUUCGACAUCUUGCGAAUCUUAUCAAGGUUCACAUGUCCAAGUUUAAGAUGCCACAUCUUUUCUUGGUUAACUUCUUCUCUAGCCCUUUUGGGUUUUGAGGUAUUCCCGCUUUCAAUACAGUGCAUCCCACUACUUGUCUCUAGGUGAAAAAGUCCCUCUAUCAUAUUACCAUGAGAGAUAAUAUGAUCGUUCAAGUAUAAAGUGCAACUCAUUUUGUCAAACAAUACUGAAUGCCCAUCUCGUAAAAGCUUAGAGAUAGAAAUCAAAUUCUUUACAUAUGAAGGAAAAUAUAAACAAUUUUUAAGUUCCAAGACUUCCCCAGAGGGCAGUUUAAGCAUGUAGGUGCCUAUUGCUUUAGCAUAGAUCUUAGUGCCGUUCCCAACUCGCACAAUCAUCUCCCUAUUGCGCAAUGUCCUGCUCCCUAUUAGUCCUUGCAACGAAUUGCAGAUAUGUGAUGCGAAAUAUAUAAGCACACAAAUUAAACCCUCUUUUUGACAAUUGUAGUAUAGAUGUAAGUAGGGUAUCGUUCUAGGCCGGGGAUUAGGAGGGAUUGCUAAUCUAUUCUAAAUUAAUUUAAAAAUAUUAAACAAGACUCAAGGAUACAAACUAGGCUAAAAACUCUAAUAACUCGAAACACACUUAAAAUGACUCAAAAUAAUGAAAACAAUUAAAUUAAACACUAGGAACUGAAAUGGAUGGAAAUUAAAUUAAAAGACUAACAAUAAAGAAAACUAAAUAAAUAAUAUAAUUUAAUAAUGGAUGGGUGUUUGGUUUUGACUAGAAGUAAAUUAAACUUAAAUAAAUUACAGAAUUGACAAAAACAUGAAAUUAAGGUGAAAUGAUAAAUGACGGACUAGCUAGAGGGUUCUUCUCCACACAUGACACAUAUGCAACCUAAAUUGAUUUUCAGUUGUUCUUUCAAUAAAUUGUAGUAUCUCAAUACUCCAGAUUAACCGUGAACAGCACUUUUUUAAUCUUCAAGUUUUCCUUAAGUUAUUGAAUUGGACGGGAAAACGCAUACAACAAUUCAAAACAUUCUUCAAAAGUCCCCUACGUGGAAAGCACAAUAGAGAUACAAUCAAAGAUCAUUAAACUUUGUGAAAACUAUAAGCAUUGACGAGGCAUUCGUAACUAUGAAAAGCAUGAUACUCUUGCCAAGAAUUUACUUAACGUGAUUGUGACUAGCAACCUUUACUACUUGUGAAAAUAAGUUCAUAACGAUUAGGUGAAAUUCACUUAUAUUCUAGCAUCAAAAUUCAUGCAUGUGAAUUAAGCGUGCACUCUCAACCAACAUACACAAAUCAGUUUUUAUAUACGAACGGAUAAGUAAAUUGAAAUCACAACUUAUGAAAUCACAACCGAAGGUAAUCAAUUCAUAUUACAAAUAUAAAUCAUGGCUUUGAAUUAACCUCUAGCCAACAUAAAUUUAAUUACACAUUAUUAAAACAGAAAUAAAAGAGAAGUUUGGAAAAAUUAAACCGAAAGAGGAUGAUCUGUUGCUGUGCAGCUUCACUGCGUCGUCAGUACGUGCUCUGUCAGUCACUCCUCUCUCCUGCACGUCCUCUCCUUCUUCCUGACCUCCCGCGCCUCACUUGCCCCGUCAGCCUUCCACGCUGACUGCUUUCCUUCUCAGCUUCUUUCUGCUCGGUUUCCUCUCGAACACAAGCUGCCACGCAGCAGCAAUUGCCGAGCUGCAAGGUCCUUCUAUUUUCAAGGCUGCACAGCAGCCAAGUCCACGUGCUCUCCCUUGUUUCACGCUGCCCAAGCAGCGUUUUUCAGUCUUUUCUCGUGCACAAGCUGCAAGGCAGCAGUGCCCUCUCAAUUGCUGCAAGGGCAGCAGUUUUGCUCGGUUUGUGCUCUCUCUCGCUGCCCAAAGGCAGAUUGUUUAUUUCCUGCGCAAGACAGUCUCUCGGUUUCUCCCCAAUCCCGUGCGCACUCUGCGCUUAUUCCCCCGCAGCUUCUUGCUGCUCUCUUUUCACGCUGCCCCAAAGGGCAGCUCUCCCCCCUCCUUUCUUCACGGAUUUCCACUCUUCUCUGUCUCCUCCUAUCUCCCGCUCCCCAGACCCCCAAUUAUUUUUCUCUCUGCGAACUGCCCAAAGGGCAGUCCCUUCUCCCGCUCCAAGACCCCCUUUCUCUCCCUACCCGUGUCAGUCUUCUUAUUUCAUUCUUUUCCUCUUUUCACGCUACCCCCCGUGUCUCACGUUUCCCUGCUUCUCUUCUUUUCCCCCUGCCAAGGGCCCGUGUCUCCCUUGGAUUCUUCUUUUCUGCCUUUCUUUUCUGGCAGCCUCGCUGCCUUCCCUUUCUUCUCACGUCCUUCCCCAAUUAUCCUUUAUUCUAUUAUUCUUUUCGUUUCUGGUCCCUGCCUUUGCGUCUUGGAUUCCUUCCUUUCCAGCUGCAAAGCAGCUUCCUGUUGUUUUCAGAAGUGAAGAAUAUGGGAGUCAACGAGGUAAAAAAAAUAUAAAUCAUGAUGCUCUCUUGCUCCCUCUUUGACCGACUCUCCCCAUUUCUUUUGUUUAUGCCGUGACAUAAUUCUACCAAUAAUCCAUGACAGAAUGAGAACGACUAAAGCAAUUUUCGACGAAUUUAUUAUUUAAAACUCAUUUGUGCUAUUUUUAUUUUCUUUGCAUAACAACUCCUAUAAACACAAAAAUAACGUAAAUAGCUCAAAAAUAUAAGGAACUAACUAAGAAAAGACGAGUGAAUUCGAAGUAAAAAUAUAUAUAAAUAUGAUCCGAUCAAAUACCCCCACACUUAACUUUUGCUAGUCCUCGAGCAAAACAAAGAAAACAAGAACAAGAAGUAACAAGAAAAAAAAAAAAAAACAUUAGCUUCCCUCUAUGUGACCCUCAUAGAAUUUCAUUUAAGAAAACAAAUUAUCAAGAACCAUAGCUAGCACCAAACAAGUUAAUCCAAGUUCAAAUUCCUAAUUCAAAUAUUAGCAGUAAUCUUUAAAUCAUCCUUGAAGUGUAGUGUGUGAGAUAGUCAUGCUAAUGCAAUUUCAAGUUUUUAUUUUUAAAAUCAUCAUAUGCAAACUAGCGACAUUCUCACGGGAUAUACACUCAAUCACACAUGUGUUUAGUUUAAAUGUGUUUCGCUCAAAGAAUCAAAUGUGAAAUUUCUACCAUAAGCUUGCAUAAAGAUCACUUCUCCACAGUCAUAAUUGCAAAACUUAAAUCAAGAGGACUUUUAUUGGAUGUAAUGAGGCUUAGGGAUAGGGUUAUUGAAACGAAAGAAUAGGAAAACACAAGUUCCAAGCUACAUUGCAAGCAAUUCUUUUGUUUUAGAUUUAUAAGAACUCAAGCUUUCCAACGAUUCUUUUGAAACCUCCAAUCACACCCUUAAACUGAAACUUUAAAAACAUUUUUUUUUUUUUUUCUUUUCUUUUCUUCUCUUUUUUUUUUUUUUUUUUUUUUUUUUUUUUAAAUACAAACAUGAAAUACCCCCACACUUAUUCUUUUGCCAAACACCUUCAAAGUACUUCACAAACAUUUCUCAUAAGACAAUCUCACAUUGCUCGCUUGGAAAGGGUAAGGAAAAAUGUUUCAGGUAUAAGGGUAGACAUAUCUGGUGAUAAGAAAUAAAAGGCUCAACAAACACGGCUCAAAUUGGCAAACUAAUGAUAUCAUUUUUCUUUGGGAAACAUGGUUAUUUGGGCCAUAGUGGUAAACCUAAUGCCUCUAUCAUUUCCAAGUUCAUGCAAUCAAUGACAAACAUUUCGAAAGAUCGUUACGCAAGUUCUAGAGAUGUAUCUCACAUAAGUUCAUCACACAUGAAAGAAUAGGAGUGUAUGAAAAAUGCACACAGUUUCAAUCGGCUCAAAAACUCACAUAGGAUGUAUAUGGUCACUAAAUUCACAUAUGAAGCUUUAAGUCAUACUUUAGUUUCACAUUAACAAGGCUAUGUGCAUUUGGUUUUUCAAAGAUGAUCAAACAUGUACAAAACUAACAAAAGAAUUAGGAAUUUCACAAAACACAUGUUAACUAAGUUCUUGAUGAUCAUGGUUCAAAUUUUUUUCAAUUAUAUCAUUGGGUCGGGAAACUAACAAAAAUCUAAUUCAAAACAAUAAGGAAAACAAGACAAUAUUUUUGGAUUUUUAAAUUUUCCGAAUUUUUUUUUUUUUUUUUAAUUUUUAAUUUUUUUUUUUUUUUUUUUUUUUUAAUUUUUUUUUUUUUUUUUUUUUAAAAGAAAACAAAACUAAUUAAGAACACAAAAAAAACAACACAGAGACAAAUGAAAUUCUAGAGAUUUCUACCCCCACACUUAAACUUGACAUUGUCCCCAAUGUCAGAAAACACUAUAAUGCAAAUAAAAAAUAAAAUAAAAUAAAUAAAUAAUAAGAAACAAAAUAACGCAAUUGGACUGAAAACUUCCCUAAUUUGCAGUAAAAUCAAGCGAUGACCCCCAAGCUAAAAUUCUGCAAUCAACUUCAAGGGUGGAAAUAACCAAAAGUUCCUGCAAAGAAAAGAAAUAAUUCAGUUAAGUACGCAAGAAAAUUAAUUAAAAAAAAAUUGCAAACGAAAAAUUGAAAAUUACGAUAAAAGAUAAUGAAUAAAACUAAUAAGUAAUCAUUGGUCGUGCUUGUUGACUUUCCACAGCUUUCCUCUUGAACGGGGUGACACUUAGCUUUUUACUAUUUGAUGAUAUUGUACGGCGGAGCUUUGCUCUUUGGUGAUGUUGCAGUUCCUUAUUUGUUCUCCAAGCAGAUGUGGCAGCUUCUCUAGUUCUUCAUCUCAGACUCCUUCUGCUGGGAUGAUUGUGCAAGCUGCAUUCUUCUCUGCUUGUUUCCUCUGCAUGGCGGGCAGGCACGAGGGAGAGGUGUUGGUCUGUUUCUUUCUUCAAUCUUUCCAAGUGCCCACCUCUUGCUCUCUUUCUCCUUGUCCUUAGUUGAGGAUGAAUCAGCACGUUGUCUCCACAUGCUUCGAGGUAUCAUCUUCACUUCCCUUAUACGUAAGAGACGAAGAGGAAACACAAGAUGAUGAGUACUCGAGAGCAAGUGCUGGCUGGAGAAAGGACAGGGAGAAAGCAUGAUAUGAGAUACUCUUGCUUUCAACCUUCAUGAUAUGAAAUACUUUUGCUUUGAAUGGGUUGUUCGCAGGAGUAUCCCAAGGAAUGAGGAACACAGAGUAACUUAGGAGGAUUCUUUGGGAAUGCAUUUUCGGAGAUGAAGAAGUGUUGAGAGGGUGUGCUGAGAGAGUGUGCUUUUGCUGUGGAAGGCGAAGGUAGAAACUUAUAGGGCUUUUCUUCACAACCGGAACUAUUCUCUCACUCAUUGUCGGCAGCCGGUGGAUGGAUGAAUAGUACACAUUACGCGCUUUCUGACAAAGCUGCCCGUAAUUUCCGCAAAGCAGAUUCCUCAUUGAUAUCUGGAAUCGGCGCUUCGAGCUCUGAGCAACGUCGAUUGUAGAGGUAGCAUGUGACACGUGCGGAUAAAUCUGGAAAAGAAGAUUUGCCCGUGGGUUGAAGCCCAGCUUUUGAGAAAGCUAGCGUGUCUUUGACUGUUGAAUUUCCCUCUUCGAUUUCUGAAUUGGUGCUUCGACAAACUGCCCGAGAAUUUCGCAAAGCAAUUUACGUGUGACAAGUGACGACACGUCUGGACAAAUUGAUCUUUUGAAAUCCGGGGUUCGGCUCGUGGUUUCUGAGCAAGCCCAGCCUUUAAGAAAUGAAACGCCUCUUUUGAGAAAAGAAUCCGGCUUUUGAGAAAGGAGCCCCGACUCUUCGAUUUGCGAGAGGACGCUUCUCUGAGGAGCGCCUCUCCGAUUUCUUCUUUUUAUAGAGGCGUUAAGCUUGUUCCACAACACACUUGAGCACCCUCCUGUAAACACUCUCUUCUU